ACACCUUGAGUCUACCUCUAAUAUCCGUCUUAGAGGUUUACAAAACUUGACCCAAUCAAUUCAACUUCCGCCACAACGCAUAGGUUCACGUCACUCACGCACCUAUAACCUUAGGGUUCACCGUCCUAGGGUCUCCUAGGUCCAUCCUAAACUUCUCUCUUUACUUGCUCUUAAUUGCUCUGAUACCACUUUAUCUGUCACGCCCCGCGACCGCUACCAAUUUGGCUCGGCCCGGGCGCGUCGAACAGACGCCGGACGGACAGCACCUCCCCUGUCCGCCCAAGGCUAACAACGAGAUUGUGUACAACAAGUUCCCAGGAAAAUAACUUGAAUACAUACACAAUCGAUAACUACAACGAGAGCACAAUCAGUGCAAAACGACCAAGAGCAAGAUACAAGUAUAGAACAUACAAGUAAUGAUAAAGAGAGAGCAUCUAUCUAUUACAUUCAUUCAGCCUUUAUAAUACAAUUUGAUUAUACAUUGAACUUCCAAAACAUAAUAUAAAGCUUACAUCCACCAAAAUAUAAACAAUAGCUUACAUUCAUCCCAGAAUAUCUCACAUCCUAUACAUCAUCUACUCUCAAAGCAUAAAAGGUGACUCUAAUGCAGAAAUAGGAAAGUAGACUAAUGCAACUAGGGCGCUAAGCCCUUACCGCGAUCCUCGCCGUGUGAACUCGCGCUCGGCCCUGUAGUAAAAUGGGGGUGAGAACUAACUUCCUUAGUUCCCAGUGGGUUCGGCCGCCGACUCCGCCGAUCUCCCCACUAGGUCCAAGUCGGGCACAAGUAGAUAAUCGAUAGAUAGAUAGAUAAGGAAAGCGGUAAAUGACAGGAGUAAAGCUACUCUACUAUGCCCAAUCAUAAAUAUAUGAAUGCAUGUACAAUGAAAUAGGUAAGCAACUAACCUGUUAUCAUGUCCAAAGGUGAAGCUAUUCACUCGUUCAUUAACCUCAUUUACUUGUUCAUUAAUCUCAUGGCUUACCCGAAGGCUCGCCUACAGCUCACUAGCCAUCUCGACACGUAGGGAGAAUUAACUCACACUACGGACCCGAGACCGUCUGGCGGGGCCAUAUAGGCAAUCCCUGGCGUGACCAACAUCCGGAGCGCACUACUUGUGUGGGGCUUCCAUCACAAGAUUUAAAAGAGACCGUGAGCAUGAUCCAAUCCUCUUCUCGAGAAUACCCUAUCCUCUAGGGUCACAAUCAUCAUAUAGUCCAUAGGUUUCAUAUACACUACGACUCACAUAUGUCACUCGUUCUUUUGUUUACUAUCAACUAGAUGCCACUCGUUCUUUACAAGUUUCCAAUGCAAUAGCCAAUACAUUACUAAAUUCCCAUCCACACUUAUCAUCUCAUUAUAGGGUUCCACAUCACAUAUAUAAACCUCAAGCAUGCUAGAUAUAAGUACUAAGCCAAAUACAUUAUUCUACCAAAGAACAUGCAAGGUAUAGGACCAAACCAUCAUUUAUCACCCUAUAAUGCAAGAUGUCAAUAUGCAAUUUGAUCAAUAUAAAACUUAGACAUAAAAGGGAGCCCGAUUGCUUCGGGAUGGACACCACCCACCUUUUAUAGCGUUCCGAUUGCUCGUCGUCACUCGCAAUCGGCCUCCUGCGGCGCACGCCGCACGGCUCGACCCAACUCACGCGCGACUGCCAAAUGACCUCCUAUCCGCGAUCCGUCUGUUCUGGAGUUUAUUCCCCGACACCACGAUGCUACGAUUCCAUUUUCAUGAUUUUUGGAAGCUUUCGCCGUGACCUGCGGCAAUCUGUACCAAAAUCGGCCUCUUCUUCGAUAUCUUUGUAACGGCUUGACGGAUUGCCAAAUUGUCGCUUCCAACGCGUUCAGUGACCUAUCAAUUAGGUUUACAGAGGGUUAAAAGAGAUCAAACCCAACUACUCAAAAUUCCAUUUUAAGCCCUAGGUUUGCCAUUAAAUAAAAACCCACCAUUAAACCCUUGGAUCUAAGCAUAAUCCAUCUAAUUAGCAUCUAGGAAGGCUACUAAACCCAUUUCUAAAGCAUUAGGAUCAAACUCUAGAAAUCUACCAUGAGAGGGUAUCAAGCUUACCUCUCUAGGUUUGCUCCAAGGGUGAGAGGAAGAAGAAGAUGAUGAUGGUGAUGAUGCUUCUCUUCUUCUCCUCCCUCUUCUUCUUCUCCUUUCUUCUCUUCUCCUCUUUCUUCUUCUCUUUCUUUUCUUUCUAGAGAGAGAGAGGGAGAGUUUUAGGGCGAGAGAGAAAAGAGAAAAGACCCAUCUCUCUCUUCUAUACACUCACAUGAGUGCAAAAUUGCAUAAAAACCCCUCAACAAUGCAUUUCUCGCAACAGCCCAAAAUGGGCAUUUUCGCGCUCGGGGACCGGUCCUUGCGAUGAGAGACCGGUCCCUGAGAGACCGGUCCUUGGCUGAGAGACCGGUCCCCGAAGGUCCAGAACUCAGCCUCAAGGACUUAGCCAAAUUUUCAGCAUUUUCGCCCGUUUUCGUCCAUUCUCGCUCGUUUGACCUUCGAUUCGUCUCAAAUCGAACCGAGACUCUCCAAACAUGUUUCCAAACAUGUUUUCAUCAUCUUUCCAUCCUCGCUAAUGCCGGAUUUAGCUCACGGCCCAACUUAGCCUUCCGGAUUUCGUUUUCGCGCCUAUGCGCACCGAAACGCCCGAUUGCCCCAGAACUUCACCAAACUUCACCGGGAUCAUUCAAACUGCUCUCCAACCAAAUGUACACUGUAACUUCAUGAUUUUAGAAGUCCGAUACCUUACAUAUAGAUUGUGAAAGUAAAGUGAUCACUUUUCGUGAGCCUAAUCAGGAAGAGUUGGUCUACCAAGCGUGCAAGAGUAGGCGCUUCGCGGUGACCAUAUCGUCUGUAAGGGCGAAGAGGAUGAUCAAAGGAGGGUGUAAGGCCUAUUUGGCAACAAUGGUGGAUGCUCGAAAGGAGUACCCUGAGUUGGGGGAUAUUCGAGUAGCGUGUNAUGGUGGAUGCUCGAAAGGAGUACCCUGAGUUGGGGGAUAUUCGAGUAGCGUGUGAGUACCCGGAUGUAUUUCCGGUGGAGUUAUCGGGACUGCCAUUGGACAGGGAAGUUGAGUUCGUCAUUGACUUGAUUCCCGGGGCGGAACCAGUUUCGAAGGCUCCGUAUAGAAUGGCACCGGUCGAGUUAAAGGAGCUGAAAGGCCAACUACAAGACUUGCUUGAUAAAGGCUUUGUGAGGCCGAGCGUGUCACCGUGGGGAGCUCCGGUGCUAUUUGUGAAGAAAAAGGAAGGCACACUUCGACUCUGCGUAGAUUAUCGCGAGUUGAACAAAGUGACGAUAAAGAAUAAGUACCCGUUGCCAAGGAUUGACAAUUUAUUCGAUCAGUUGCAAGGGUCCAAGGUGUAUUCGAAGAUUGAUCUCCAGUCGGGGUAUCAUCAAUUAAAGAUUAGGCCGAAGGAUGUGCACGAAACGGCGUACCGUACGCGGUAUGGCCAUUAUGAGUUCACGGUAAUGCCGUUUGGGCUUACUAAUGCCCCGGCAGCAUUUAUGGACUUGAUGAAUCGAGUCUUCAGGCCAUUGUUGGAUCGAUGCGUCGUGGUGUUUAUAGACGACGUAUUGGUCUACUCGAAAAGUAAAGAGGAACACGAAGAGCAUCUGAGAGCUGUGCUGCAAAUACUCAGACAGGAGAAACUUUAUGCAAAGUUGAAGAAGUGUGACUUUUGGCUAAAGGAGGUCACAUUCUUGGGUCAUGUGGUAUCGGGUGACGGAGUGUCGGUAGACCCGAAGAAAGUAGAGGCGAUAAAGGAUUGGCCUCGCCCGACGAGUGUAGCAGAGGUCUGCAGUUUUCUUGGACUUGCGGGCUACAACCGGCGGUUCGUGGAGGGGUUCGCUAAAAUAACCACUCCACUAACGCGCCUUACGCGUAAAGGAUUAAGGUACGUGUGGAGCAACGAUUGCGAUCGAAGCUUCGAGGAGUUAAAGAACAGAUUUACGUCAACCCUGGUGCUUGCCUUGCCGACUCCGGGGGAGACUUUUGUAGUGUAUAGUGAUGCCUCUUAUGUUGGUCUUGGGUGUGUAUUAAUGCAAAAUGGGCGGGUCAUUGCGUAUGCAUCGCGCCAAUUAAAGAGUUAUGAGAAGAACUACCCGAUUCACGAUCUCGAGGUAGCUGCGGUGAUCUUCGCGCUAAAGAUUUGGAGGCAUUACUUGUAUGGUGAACAUUGUGAGGUAUACACCGAUCACAAGAGUCUCAAGUACUUGUUCAUCCAGAAGGAAUUGAACAUGCGGCAGCGGCGGUGGUUGGAGUUGUUGAAGGACUACGAUGUCACUAUACUUUACCACCUCGGAAAAGCCAAUGUAGUGGCCGAUGCUCUAAGUAGAAAAUCGGCAGGGAAUUUAGCGAUGGCAAUUACGCCUCAACCGAUAUUGGAAAAAGAAAUGCAAAGGUUUGGGUUGGAAGUGGUAGCGCCGUGAGUGCCGGCUACACUUACCGCAUUAAUUGUGCAGCCGACCCUAUUGGAAAGAAUCAAAGAUCUUCAAGCCUCGGAUCCUUAUCUUUAAAAGAUACGAGGGGAAGUUGAGAAUGGCAAUGCCGAAGACUUUGGCAUUGGAGCUGACGGCGCACUUCGAUUUCGAAAUCGAUGGUGUGUGCCUAAGGAUGACGAUAUUCGAAGGGCGAUCAUGCAAGAAGCGCAUCAAUCUCCCUAUAGCAUACACCCCGGCGGCACUAAAAUGUACAAGGACUUGAAGGAGUAUUAUUGGUGGCCGGGUAUGAAGAGAGAUAUUGGGGAGUGCGUGGCGCAAUGUUUAACGUGCCAACAGGUUAAAGCAGAGCGCCGAUUUUCGGCGGGAAAGCUACAAAGUCUACCUAUACCCGUGUGGAAAUGGGAAGAUAUAGCGAUGGACUUUAUUACCGGUUUGCCUCGAUCACAAGGCGGACACGAUGCGAUAUGGGUGAUAGUGGAUCGAUUGAGAAAGUCGGCACACUUCUUGCCGAUACAUACUACGUGGUCGGGAGACAAGUUAGCUCAAGUUUAUCUCGACGAGGUUGUGAGACUUCAUGGGGUUCCGGUAUCAAUUGUAUCAGAUCGAGACCCCAGGUUCACAUCCCACUUUUGGAAGAGCUUGCAAGACGCGCUAGGCACACGGCUCGACUUUAGCACGGCGUUUCAUCCUCCGAGCGAUGGACAGUCGGAGCGGACUAUACAGAUCCUCGAGAACUUGCUUCGAGCGUGUAUCCUAGAUUACAAAGGAGGAUGGCAUGAUUUCUUGCCAAUGGCGGAGUUCGCCUAUAAUAACAGUUAUCAAGAAAGCAUAGCGAUGGCGCCAUUUGAGGCACUGUAUGGACGUAACUGUCGUUCUCCUAUCCAUUGGAGCAACGUGGGCGAGAGAAUGGCUCUUGGCCCGGAUGUGGUGCGGGAGGCGGAAGAGAAAGUUCGCCUUGCCCGUCAACGGUUGGCGACGGCGCAAUCUCGGCAAAAAAGUUAUGCCGACAAGCGGAGAAAAGAUUUAGAGUUCGCGGUUGGAGACCGUGUAUUUUUGAGAGUGUCACCAAUGCAAGGAGUAAAGCGGUUUGGGGUCCGUGGGAAGCUAAGCCCCCGAUACGUUGGACCAUUUGAGAUAUUGGAGCGUGUGGGUGCGGUAGCGUACAAGCUCGCACUACCACCGAGACUCGCGGGAGUUCACAAUGUUUUCCAUGUGUCAAAUCUCCGAAAGUACAUUCGCAAUUCGACACAUGUAUUGGCGUAUGAGCCCGUAGAGUUACGCGAGGAUAUGUCAUAUGAGGAGUACCCGGUGUGCAUCCUCGACCGAGAAGAAAGAAAGCUGCGGAGUCGCAGAAUUUCAUAUAUGAAGGUCCAGUGGAGCAACCAUGUGGUGCGAGAAGCCACUUGGGAGCUCGAGGAGACCAUGCGGAGAGAGUAUCCGCAUCUAUUUGAGUCAACAAGUUAAGGUAUGCGUAAUUUUGCGGACGAAAUUAUUUUAAGGGGUGGAGCAUGUAAUAUACCGAAAAUUCGGAAAAUAAAUAUCGAGCUUUGGUCAAAUUGACCAAAGAGCGAGGAUGGUACACUUCGGAAAGUCCGAAGGUGUUAAAAUGAUCAAAAGUGCGUUAUGGGAGGAUUUCGAGAGCUAAAGAAUCAAAAAUCUACAAACUGCAGUUUUUGAGCUCUCGGGGACCGGUCUCUCCUACCAGGGACCGGUCCCUGCCUGAGAGACCGGUCCCCUGGAGACCGGUCCCCCAAAGAGAGACCGGUCGCAUUGCGCACAGUAGCUCUGGCCGCGCAGGGAGAGCUCUCGGGAACAGGUCCCUAGUCGGGGAGACCGGUCCCCGAGCACGAAAUCUGCCCAGUCCAGGCAGUGUGUUGAGGUGAAAGUUGAGGGGUUUAGCUGCAAUUUUGCAACCCAUAGGGAUAUGUAAGAGGGGUAAAGAGAUGUUUCUCUCAUUCUCACCCUCUCAUCACCUCUCAUCUCUUUUUCUCUCUCUUAAAGACAAGGAGGAGAAGAAGAAGACCAAGGAAAAGGAGGAAAGGAAGGAAAAGAAGGUGGAGAACAAGAAGAAGAGUUGAAGCAACUCUCUCCUCUCCUUCUCUAGCUUGGAAAAGGAGCAAGCUUAGAGGUAAGUCUUGCCCCUUCUCAUGGUAAAUUCCAAACUAGGGUUUGGAUUAGGCUAAGAAUGGUUUUUAUAGAACCUUUAGAGUAUUUGAAGCUUUCUUUUUGCUUCUUUUGAGAUCAAGACCAUGACAUGAGUGUAGUGGGUGAAGCUUGAAGGUGAGCUUGACCCCUCUCAUGGUAGAAUCCAAACUAGGGUUUGGAUUGAACUAAAGAUGGUUUUAAUGGACUUCCUAGAGUAGAAUGAAGCUACUUUUGCUUUCCAAUAAGAUCAAACCCUAGGUUUGAUAUAUGCAAUGGAGCUAGGGCACCCAAAUUGGGACUUUUGCUCAUGGGGAUUUCUAAGUGAAAUUGACCCUCUAGAAAUCUAAUUGGGGGUAUUUCCGACGCGUUGGUGCGCUCGGAUUAGCAUUACGAAAAGUCUAUGAAAAGUUAUGGGCAAAAUGGCCUAAGUUGGCUUCGUUUUGCCGCAGGUAAAGAACGAGAAGCCUAAAAAUCCCAAGAAAAUCGUCGGAGCACCUUUGAGAACCUACGAGGUGGGUAGUGCUUUUCAAACUCGUUGAACUUCCCUCUAUGCCUAAUGUGUCAUUCAAUUGAGCAUAUGUAUAUACAUUGUUGCAUGCAUUUUAAGGUAAAGCAAUGAUAAAAAUGUGAUGUUGCAUGAUUGUGAGUACAACUUGCGUAAUGUGGUAGUUAAGAACCUUAUGAAUGUCAAAAACCCUAUAUAUGUAUGCAUGAGAAAAAAUGUGAGUACCAAAGUGAGACGAAAGAACAGAGUGACACAAUGAGAUAUAGAUCGAGUGGCAUUUGAUAAUGUAAAGUAAAGUGACACUAGAGGUAGUGUGAGGCAAAGAAUCAAUGUGAUGUCAAGAAUAAUGAUAAUGACUAAAGUGAAAACAAAGUGGGGCGUAAAGAACAUGAAUGCUAAAAUUAGCCAAAGGUAAGGAAAUGUAAAGAACAUGGUUGCUAGAGUUAGCAAAAGUAAAAGAAAAGUAAAGAAUAAUGAUUGCUAGAGUAGCAACAUAAAGUGAUGUAAAGAACACUAGAGUUAGUGUAAAGUCAAGAUUAUACAUACAAUCCUUUGAGUUAAGGAUUCGAUCAUACUUGCUAUGAGUUCCGUGCUCGAGGGCGGUCGCUCCCCCUCGGGCGAUGCGCUCCGGAGUUUUGCAUCACGGGUUGGAGUAAACCCGAGGACGGUCUUAGCGGGAGGAAGCUGAGGGCCCGCGAUGAUGGACUUAAUGUGAAGCAAGUGAAUGUGGCGAAACCCCCGGAUUAGCCUUGAGAUUAAAGAACAAAGAACAAAGAACAAAGAACAAAGACAAAGUGUAAAGUGUAAAGAACAAAGGAACUUGCAUAAUCUGCAUAUGUUAAUGUUGAGCAUAUUUCCUGCUUAUUAUUCAGGCAUAUUAGCAUCAUACUAUAGAUUGGUUACUAUAUGCAGCUUUUCCUUUCUAUUAUGCCUGAGUUAGUCCUAGUGGGAAAGUCGGUGAUGUUGAAGCCGAACUUUGUUGUAGUUCUCACCCCACUAUUUCCACAGAGCCGGGACUGAGCGAACCGGCAAGCGACCGAGGUAAAGGUAUCGCACCUUAGUCAGAGGCCACCAGAGUUGGGUUUACAUUUUGUAGUAGCAUUCCCUUUUAUCAUCCUUUGUAUUUGAUGAUUUAAAAUGUUGAUGUAUUAAGCAAAGAAAGAAAAGAAUGUAAAGCUCUCUUUUGAGGUAAAUGUAAUGUAAGAAAGAAAUGAUGUAAUGAAAUGUAAGGAAUUUGAAAAUGUACAAGUUGGACUUAAUGUAUAUGAUCUAAAUUGAAUCAUAGUACAAGUGAAUGUUUAGUUUCCUUUCUUUCACUCAUGGCUAUUGCUUACCCUCGUGUAAGCCGUAUUUGUAUAUUUCCGCUGGUGCACUUCCUGUUUGAAAAUGUACAUGUGAUGAGCCUUGGGCGGACAGGGGAAACUCUGUCCGUUCGGCGUCUGUUUAACGUGCUCGGGCCGGCCCAAAUUAGUAUCGGUCCCGGGGCGUGACAUGAGGAUUCUGGCUCGCGAAGUAAAAAGAGUGCGGAACCAUGAUAUUCCCUACGUGAAGGUGCUGUGGAGCAACCACCACAAGCGCGAGGCCACUUGGGAGUUGGAGAACUCUCUACGGGAGCGCUAUCCCCAUCUUUUUUAGAUGGAAGCUUGAGGUACUUUACUUUUUGAGUUUCGCGGACUAAACUCCUUUUUAGGAGGGGUGAAUGUAGCACACUGGACCAAUGCAAAUUGCGGGGUUUGAGUGUUUGGUUGUGUUUCGAGCUUUUUCACAUUUGGUGGAGGGUCGUAGAAUGAUUUCCGACCUAAGAAGUUCGAAAACCUGAGUUCUGGACGAGUCCUGAGAGUUUUUACUCUCGGGGACCGGUCCCUGAUAGAAGAGACCGGUCCUGUCACGCCCCGCGACCAACCGCCAAUUUGGACCGGGUCACGGCGCCGCUAACAGACCGCCGGACGGACCGGGGUUUCCCCUGUACGCGGACAGAGUCUCCCCAGUACGUUCUAGGCGCCGCAAUCCAAACAAUAUAGAGAUGUUCCAACCAGGAACGGAUAUCAAUCAAGAUUGCAUAAGGAAGUAUCAAAUACAUAAACUACUAACUAUUACAAGCAUUCAUUCACUUUUACAUCACAGUUUCUAUUUACAUUUUUACUUCCAAAUUACAAUCUCAUCACAUUAGGGUUUACAAGUUUAAUACAUUUUGUUUUUCCUUGUCUUCUAGUCCCCUAAGCUAGACUGCCUCAGGGUACUUCUACCUCGGUCUCUGUGGCAAGGCGCUAUCUACUGAGCUACGCCCUCACCUCGCGCCGUCGCGCCGCACACGUACAACCUGAAAACACCCCGAAACAACAUGGGGUGAGAACCAACUCCAUGGUUCCCAGUGGGUACGGCCACCCAAGGGAAAAGCUCGACCGAUAGGUCCGAGGAGGCUCUGCAACAUGUUAGUUCAACAAUAUACAACAGAUAUAUAUAUUCAAUUGAAAUACAUGCCAUGCCUCACAAUAUGCGAUAUGCAAAUCAUGCAACUCUACGCAACAUCUAGUAGAUCCAUAGAUUCUACAUUUACUUGGCUACUCUUAGCUCGCAUCUUUACUCUAAGGCUUCUAUUACCUUAGGAUCUCAAGCCUCUAUCUCUAGCUCAUAGGGGUUCCUCUACCCUAUCAAAGCUAACCACCCGACUCGGCUUCGAGUCGAUCAUCCGCGGAUAGCCCGCGCACUGGCUGCUCAUCAGCCUACCGCCCUCUCUGUCUCAGCCCCCUAGCGGCGAAGUCGUCGUACACGCUAAGCCUGGCUCAAGUCGCACGACUUGACCAUCUGGCGGCGAUCACGUUGCUCUUACCCAGCGUGAGCUCGAGACCUGACACGCCGUCUGGCGGCGAACGGGUCGCACCACACCCAACAACAGCACAUGUCAGACUCAGCCACCUGGAGGCACCCGCAUCGUACUUACCCAGCAUGGAUUCAGUCUGCUCUGGCGGUCUGAUCCUCAGUCGGCUUAACCACCCGGCGGCGAAAUCGUCGCACAAACGCCACGUCAAUGGUUCAAGCCUCGGGCGGUGAUCUCCACGUGAUCACCCCCAAUCCUCUCUCGGUACCAAGCUCGGCGGCGAAGUCGUCGCACAAACGCCCUAGCUUUUACCAGGGUCAUAACAAGUCAUGGGAUUCCGGAAUCCAUUUCACAUCACAUAGGGUUGGUCUUAACCCUAUGGAACUGACCUCUCUAGGUCUAAGCCUUUACUCAACCUAAGUUCACCCAUUAGGUUUAUUGCUUUCACAUUCUUAACCUAGGUUUAUUACACUAGGAUCAUUAUUCUUUCCAACCUAGGUUCACUAACACUAUGCUCUUUACCACUAGGUUGGAUGCCACUCGAUCUACCUGACAACCUAAUUGUCCAGUCAACUCUGCUCACACUAGAGUUAUCAUCUUUAUUCCUCAUGCAUACUAUUUAGCAUUUCUAGCUAUGCAUUAUUAUUAAUAUGCACUCUUUACAUUAGCUAGCAUUAUUUACAUGCCAUGCUAUCAUGCUUGCUACUUAGCAUUUUAGUCUAUGCAUCGUUGUACCAUGCAUUCUUUACUUAGCCUUUACUUUAUGCAUAUCUAUUAAUGCACCAUUUAGUCUUGUCUACAUGCACAUGCAUCAACAUGAGAUUACAUUGCUAAGACAUAAAGGGCGACCUAGUCGCUUCGGUAAGCACAACCCACCUUAAUUCGCGUUCCGAUUGCUUGUCGAUACUUGCAAUCGGCCUCCCGCGGCACCCGUAUCCGACACGGCCCGAUACUGCAACUGUGCCUCAACCGUGUUUCGCUUCGCAGCCCCGAAGAUUAUAGGUCUUCGGUUAUGUGCCACGAUGCCUUAAAUCCAUUUCCAUGAUUUUACGACGUCGCCUCGGCCCUCCCGGCGGACCCGAAGCCUAAACGUCUAUUUCUUUAAUAACUUUGUAACGUCUCGUCGGAUUACCGAACCGUCUUUGCCCACGCGUUUCGUUACCUAGCAAUUAGGUUUACGAAAGGUCAAAUGAGAUCAAACCCUCAUAUUUUGAAAGUUUGCAUUUUGGAGUCCUAACGUACAAUUAACCUCCAAAUAAUCCAAAUUAAAUGAAUCAACAUGCCAACAAAGCUCAUUAGAGGCUACUAGAACACAUAAAGCUAAGGAUUAAGCCAAAUCCCAAAAGCUUACCCCAAUGUGAAUGCCGCAACGAAAACACGCCGCUCCAACGGGCGCACGAAAGCUCAAUCCGUCGCCUCCAACGCGUUCGCAAGCUCGAUCUCCACCAACGCCGCGAAUUUGGGCGAGAAAUAUAGAGAGAUGAGAGAGAUAUUUAGAGAGAGAAAAGGGAGGGUUUCUCUCACUACACCAUGAACGUGUGCUUGUGUGGGGUGGUGGUCGGCUGUGAAGAGGAAGAAGCCUAGUAGCUUCUACUUACAGUGAACACCUCAAUAGUAACAUACACUAUUCACAUCAGGCAGCUCCAAAUCUGAUAUCUUUCGCCCUGAGCUCCUGAAUAUCCGUUUGAGCUCAAAUCUGAUAGUCAUAUUCGUGUUUUACUUAAAGAGUCCAAAGAAAUUUUAAUAUUUCAGUUUCGACUCCGUUGGUCACUAAAACUGUGCCGAACCUGCAAUCUUUAUCAGAUACUUUCGGAUUUUAUUUCUCACUCUAACGGUGUUAAAAAAAUAUGAAACUUUAAAUCUAGCCUCAUAAAAAUAUUUCUGACAUCCCGCCAAUUUUCAUAAUUUUCUGAGACUGUACAUUUUUGCUAAUUUAUAUCAGUCCCGUUUUCAACAGAAAAUCUAAAUCUUCUGUUUUCGCUGCCGAUUUCAGCACAGGUCUUUCCAACCGAUAUUUCAACUUUAAAAUCUAUAAAAUAGUAUCUCAUACUAUUUUAUUUAUUUUUCUUUUAUAUUUAAAAUCCGUAUAUACAUUCCACUGCAACCUCACCGGAAACCAUUUUAAAUGUACACCGUAACUUCAUAAUUUUAGAAGUCCGGUACCUUACAGGUCCCCACAGUGAGCAGUAUUGCGGCAGCCUGGGGCAACGUCCCUGCGGCGAGACAAGGUCCCCGAACGCGUGCGCGCGGGAGAUAUGUGACCGGUCCGUGCGGGUGAGACCGGUCCGAACGUGGAUUUCCGAGGCAGCUGAGAACGGCCCAUGUCGGGGAGACCGUCCCUCAGCCCGAAAUCUGCCCAGACCGUGCUUUGCACAAAGAUGCAAAGUUCAGGGGUUUUCUGGAUUUUCUUACACUAGAUGGCCUAUAUGGCCACUCCACUCUCCCCUUCUCCUCAUUCUCUCCUCACACCCUCUCCACACCUUUGUUAGAGAGAGAAGAAGAAAAAAAAGAAGAAGAAGAAGAAGAAGAAGAGGAGAGGAUCUUAGCUUGGACUUGGAGCAUUUCUUUGCCUCUCUUUCUCUUCCCACCUUGUUGGUGCUUGAAGGCUUGGACUUGGAGCUUGAAGAGAGGAGAUCUUCACCUUGGACUUGAUUGGAGCUUCUAAGGAGGUUAGUUGCUCAUUUCCUACCUCUAGACCUUGGUUUGUUGGUUUUUAGGGGAUGAAACCCUAGAAUGGGAUUUUAGGGUUGAUUUUGGGCAUUUUGAUUCUAGGGCCUUUGGAGUUAAAUUGAACGGAUUAGAACCUUCCUUUGGAUUGGAUUGGAAGGGAUUUAGCUCUCUUUUGGAGCUUGGGAGAGAUUUUCUACUCUCUAGGUGAGUUUUUGUCCUUUUGCUUGUGUGGUUAAUGUUUGAGCCUAGAGUUGCUCGUAACGCUUGUGUAUCUCUUCGCUCAUUACUUUUAGGGUAUUUUGAGACUCGUGGACAACUCCGUUCGGCGAAACGAAGGACUCCGCGACGGUUCGGUGGGUUUGACCUAGCCACACAAUGAGAAAAUCUCAUUUGUGAUGAUUUGAGUAUCGUUAAAUGAAAAAGCAUACAUAAUCAUGUUAGAUAUAUUUAUUAUGAAUUUUAGAAUGUUUAACAUGCCUAUGUAAUUUAUAGGAAAAUUUCAGACCUCUAUAUGGUAGAGAGCUUGCAUGUGAGACUUAGCAUUCUAAUUGAGAAUUCGGACUAUAAUCCUUAUCAUGAAAAUGAACAUUGCUAUCAUGCAUUUAACCUUUAUGCCCAAUUGUGACAUUAGGGAUUUUGGAAGCCUAGAGAGUGUCACGCCCCGGGACCCAGCGGAAGCCCGCCCGGCACGUGCCCAGACCCGCCAUACGUCUAAAACAUAUAAGGCGUCUAAAAAACGACGAUAAAAAAAAAAAAGCAAUAAUAAUAGACAUCUAAGAGUAUCAGAGCAUGAUUAAAGUCUAAAUCUACAUCAAGGUAAGAAGAGUAAAGCUGAAAUCCACUAAUAAAAGCAUAAAGUUGUACAAAGGAAAUUCCAAAUACAAGUGCUAAAAGUAGAUACAUAGGUGGUCCCUACACAUGGAUACAAAAUCUCUCACUCUCUCAACUAGAAAAGAAAGAGUAAACCACCUAGGCAAAGAACCGCUCCUCGCUAGCUAGCUAUGCGAUCCCCUUGCCAUGAUCCUGUGCCUCCGCCGAUGCAGAAGGCUCUGAAAGGAAACCAGAAAACAGGGGCGUGAGAACUAUUAAAAAUAGUUCCUAGUAGGCAAUUACUGACUUCAGUGAACCGCGCCACAAGACCCGAAAGCUACAAAAAGAGGUCAGUGACUAACAGUGUAGUAAAGCGAAAGGUAAGUAAAAUGUAAUUUACUAUAACAUAAGGUCUCUACUUAGCAUAAUUUGUAUAAGUAAUAAAGCAAAGAUAUCAUGAAUGUACAUGGAUGUGUAUGACAUGCAUAAGCAUAGAAUGCAACCAAUCCGAUGUCCUCAAUGCGAAAAUAGCAAAGAUGUCAUUGUUUACUAUUCUAGUCCAAGUCCACUUUAAUAGUUUUAAAGUUCACAUAGUAUGUUCUGUCACUAAGUCCCAAUCAUAUAAGUCCCACCCGAAGGCUGUCUGGCCUGCGCCGUGCUUAAUGGCCCCAUGGUAGUCAACAUCCCCACUCUAGGGAUGAGCCUCCCCCACGGCAAUCCACUUCGGCGCCCAUUCCCGCACGGGCGAGCAUAUGUCGCGAUGGCUAUCUCCGGAGUGCCGGCUUGUAGGGAGCGACCCUCACAAGCAAGUGCGAAUGAGCACAAUGGCAAGCAAGCAAUGAUCUGUCUCAAGAACCAAGUCCUCAUGUCUAAAACAUGGAAUAUGUCAAAUGUCAUCAUGGCCUAUCUUUAUGUCAUCAUGUCUCUAACAUGGAAUAUAGCAGAUGUACAAUGACCUAUCAUCAUGUCUCUAAGUUAUAGUUCAACCGUUUUCUAGUUCAAGUGCCCCUUUAUGACACUUUUGCUCACUAAGUCAUAGCAUGGCAAUUAUGCUUAAGAUUGCAUGAUUCUAGUCAUUUCCCCACAUAAGAGACAUAUUUUCAAGUUGCAAUAAAGAAUCCGGAACACAUGCAUGCAUACUACACAUAAGCCUCUACUACAUAGAGCGAAGUUCUCAUGACACAUAAUGCAUGGGUUAUAAGCGUUCCAAAAUUCAUAUAAAUUCUAUCUAGCAUGAAUAUGCAUUUACUUUCACAAAAAGACAAGUAUUUUACUCAUAGGGGCCAUUUUGCCCCAAAUCAUGAAGCCAAACCUACCGAUUUUUCGAACUCUUCGUUUCGCCGAACUAAGGUGUCCACUAGCCUCCUAGUACCCUAAGGAUGUAGGAACAAGUGUUACCCAAACGAAAUGAACAACGGAUUGCUCAAUCAUUAACCAAUUCGGGCUAGGGUUGAAGAAAACUCACCGAUUGUGAAGGAAGCUCUCUCAAUCUCCAAAUGGGAGCUAGAGUCCUUCCAAUCAAACCUAAACAAAGGUUCUAAACCCAUCAAUUUGGUUCCAAAGCCCUCAAAUCAAAAAUCCCCAAUCCUAGCCCUAGAAUCCAAAAUCUAGGGUUUCUAAAGAGGACAACUACCAAAACAUGCUCUAAAGGAGAGAUCAUGAGUACUCACCUCACAAGAUGUCCCAAACCAAGCUCCAAGCCAAGUGGAGUUGAAGAUCUCCUCUCAAACAAGCUCCUCUCUAAGCUCUAAGUCUUCAACAAUGGAGGAAACCCAACAAAAAGCAAGGUGGAGAAGAGAGGAGAGAUCAAAACCAACCAAAAUCUAUCAAAAAUGGAAAGAAAACUCAAAGGGGGAGAGUCUCACCUUGUCUCCACAGAACUAGGGCUCAAAACCCUGUCUAAGGGGGCUGGGGUCACUUAUAUAGGUGUUGCAACAAUUGCAAAAACACCCCUCCACGAAACAGCCCCAAUCUGCACUGUGUACCGGUACACGGGAUUGUGUACCAGUACACCACCCACAAAAACGCAAACCCGAGCCUCGGGUUUGGCCGAAAAGCCGUCUGUGUACCGGUACGCGGGCCCGUACCGGUACAGCCAUCAACCCCGUACCGGUACAGCUACCAAGCCCGUACCGGUACACAGCCUGCUGAAGGCUACCCGAGGGCUGACCAAAAAUCCAACUUUUUGGAUUUUGGCGCACAGCUUUAAACCACGAUUCUCGGGACUCGAACCAUAGGUCGGGACACUGUCAAUGACCUCCCACAAAAUGUGGAAAAGCUCGGAACACACACCAGACACUCGACCUCGCUAUUUGCAAAGGUCUAGUAUGUUACAGAGAGGCUUGGGGACAAAGUAAAGGUGAAUCAUAUUAACACCAUAUUUAAUUGCAAUAUAAUAGCUUAGCAUUUUUGUUAUGCUUUCAUAAAUGUAAUUUAUUCGUUAUUAUUGCUCUCUUUUAGACUUACCCUUUCUUUGGGGCCUAGUGGUGCGUUGAGCUGAGGUCAGUAAUUGCCCACUGGGAACUAUAAAUUAUAGUUCUCACGCCCUCUGUUUUAUAUUUUCUUUCAGAGCCUUCCACGCCGAGAGAGGCUAGGGACCAUGGGAAGGGCGUAGCUCUUCAGCGAGUGACAAGUUGAUAGGUGGUCUACCUCUCGAUAUUUUUUUAUUUUGGAGAGGUUGAGAGCUGUACCAAUAUUUUAGAGACCACCCUUUUGUGUACCUUUUUGGACAAUUAUUGUAUAACUUGAUAUUUCACUCUUAUUGUUUUAGUAUAUUCCUCUCGCUUUAUUAUAGAUGGUAGAUCUACUUGUGCUCUGAUAUCUCUAGUUGCAAACUAUCUUUGGUUUUAUUUUCCGCUGUUGAUGUAGACGCCUUAUAUGUGCCGACAUAUGGCGGGUGUGGGCACGCUACCGGGAGGGCCUCUGCCGGUCCCGGGGCGUGACACUAUCAACUAAGGAUAGUGUCAACAUAGAACCAAUAGGUAUUCUAGUACUCAAUCUCAUAGUGCUUCGACUACACUAAGGUUCUCAUGUUUAAUGUUAACUAGAUGCCACUCGUUCUGUGUUCAUUGUUAACUAGAUGCCACUCGUCACAGUUUAAGGUUCUCAAUACUGUACUUGCACAUGUUCACUAGGUUGUCAUCCAACUAGAGUUUAAUCCACAUUGAUCAUGCCAUUAUAGGGUUUCACAACACUAUGUCUCAAUCCCAUGCAUACUAGGUACAAGUAUUAAACCAUUAACACUACACUACCACUAGCAUGACAUAACAUGUAACAAUACCAUUUUGUACCCUAUAAUGCAAUAUCACAAUAUGCAACUUGAUCAAUGACGAUUAGAGUUUCCAAUAUAAUAACCAAUGCAUUACAAAGUUCUCAUCCAUACUUAUCAUCUUAUUAUAGGGUUUCACAUCACAUAUAUAUAAACCUCAAGCAUGCUAGAUACAAUUGCUAAGCCAAAUGCAUUACUUUACCAAGAAGCAUGCAAUACAUAUAUAGAACCAACCAUCAAUUAUCACCCUAUAAUGCAAGACUUCGAUAUGCAAAUUGAUCAAUAUAUAACUUAGACAUAGGGAGCAGUUCAACUGCUUCGGGAUGGUCACCACCCACCUGUUAUAGCGUUCCGAUUGCUCGUCGUCACUUGCAAUUGGCCUCCCGCGGCGCACGCCGCACGGCUCGACCCAAUCCACGCGCGACCACCUUACGACCUCCGAUUCGCGAUCCGGAAAUUAAGGGUCUUCGGUUCUUCGUUACGAUGCUAGGAAUCCGAUCCACAAUUUAUGGAAGCCACCUCGGCUCCCUAGGUCAACACGAACCAACAACACUUGUUUUAGCCAGAACGUCGCACCUGCUCAACGAAUCGACGAACCGUCGCUUCCAACACGUUCAGUUACCUAUCAAUUAGGUUUACAGAGGGUCAACCUAAGUGGGCAAACCUUAGGAAGGCAAAAUGCGAGAGCCGUGAUUAAUGCGAUAGUCAAUAAUUAAUUAUUCUAACUCAUCCUAGAGUGGAGUGAGUGAUUGAAGGAGUUCCUAUUUUGGCCUGAAAAAAAUUAUGUUGGCUCCAGACGACAUAAUUUUGAAAAAAAACAGGGGCCGCCUUCCAGACUUUCAUUGAUUGGGUCGAGAGUGGUUGUAUUGUGUCUGACCCUGUUCUGUUUCUUUCAGCUAUGUAUCAUCGCCGAGGUCAACCAUCGUUGCGGGAGCGUGCCCAGUUGACGUAGGAUCGCGUGGGACCUUCCGAGAUGCCAGAGCAGACGGAGCGUAGUACUCGACCGUAGGCGAGUGUACCCCCUGUUGUGGAGCCGAGUGCGCUACCUGAGGCUAGCGCAUCGCCCGAUCUGAGUGCACAGUUAGCUGCCUUGACUGAGGUGACGAGGCGGCAGGGGGAGUUGUUAGAGAGGAUGUGCGAAAGGCUAGUUCCACCCCCAAGUACAGUACCGAGAGCACCAGAGCAGGAUGUUCCACUCCCGACUACUUCAGCGACAGCACCAGCCACAGCUAUGCCCCCGCCAGUGGAGCCUCCUGCAGUGCCAGUUGCGCCUGCUAGAGGGCCAGUGCAGAUGACAGAGGCCGAGCAGGAGCGGAUCACAGAGAGGUUGACUCGUUUCCGCCGUUUUGAUCCGCCGAUUUUCGAUGGCAGUUGUACUGAGGCGUGGGUUGUUGAGGGCUGGGUCAGUACGAUGGAGAAGCUCUUCGAGGAUCUAUUCAUUCCAGAGAGAGAGCAGGUACCCCUGGGUGUUCACUGCUUGUCUGGCGACGCUCACGCCUGGUGGAGGAGAGUGAGGCGAGGUUAUGGGCUUGUAGCACUGGAGAUGCGGUGGGACGAGUUCUGUGGAAUGCUGUUUCAGAUGUAUUUUCCCAAUAGUGUGAAACAGAAGCUCGAGGAGGACCUGAAGAUGAUCCAGCAGUGGGAUCGACCAGUUCAGGAGUAUAUCCGUGAGUUUACCCGACUCCUAAACUGUGUGCCGUUCGUAGCCAGGGAUGAGGCGCACCGAGUUUACCUCUUUGAGUAGGGUUUGAGACCCGAGAUCUUUCAGUUGGUACAUGCGCAAAGGUUGAGGACCUUGGACGCGUCGAUGGAGCAGGCUCUUUGGGUUGAGAGAGGUGAUGCUUCGAUCCGUGAGCGGACCCAUGCCAUGGGACAGAGUCAGGACAGGAAGCGCCCUUUUCCAGAUGACGGAGGACGGUCAAGUAGUAGACGUCCACCGAGGCCUCCACGAUCAUGCUCUCAGGGUCGUGGGUCUUCGGGGCGUCAGCGUUCCAGGGGAGGCCGCCAGCAGGGACAGUUACCCAGGACGCCGCAGUGUGUGAUCUGCGGGGGACCACACUGGCCCCGGCAGUGUGAGCAGAGAGAGGGUCGUUGCUACAUUUGCGGUCAGCCCGGACAUAUGAGGUCAUCUUGUCCUCGUGCAGCAUCACCAGCACCAUCCACAGCAUCAGCGCAGCCAGCAUCCCCACAGUUUUCUAGAGUAGUUCGAGUUUCUACCAGGAGGAUAGGUCGUCUGUGCCGCGUCAGGCUGAGCAGCGACAGCAGGCUCCGAGUGGCAGAGUCUAUGCAGCCCAGGUGGAGGACUCUAGAGCAGCCGACCGGGUGGUGGCAGGUAUUAUUUUGAUUUUCGGCAUUAGAGCUCGUACCCUUUUUGAUACCGGAGUAUUUCAUUCGUUUGUUAGCCGAGCAUUCGCAUUGUUGCAUGGUCUAGAGUUAGGAGCAUUGUCACAGGCACGAGAGGUGCAGAUCCCGGACCAUGUUUUGCAGGUUGUUGAGUGUUGCUUGUCGUGUCCGGUGCAGUUGGAUUCGUGGAUCAUGCCCGCAGACCUGUUGGUGUUAGGGCAGCUGCAGGACUUCGACGUUGUGCUCGUAUGGAUUGGCUGACGCGGUACUAUGCUACUAUCGACUGUGGAGCGAGGACGGUGACGUUCCGCUAGCCAGGCCAGGAGGAGUUUACUUUCAGAGGCUGCAGGAGCGCGCUGUUUGCCACCUGGAUAUCUUCGGCGAGGGCUCGACAGAUGCUGAGCAGUGGGUGUAUCACUUUUCUAGCGACAGUUGUGGAGGUACCUACGGCGGCGCCGNUCCCGGACCAUGUUUUGCAGGUUGUUGAGUGUUGCUUGUCGUGUCCGGUGCAGUUGGAUUCGUGGAUCAUGCCCGCAGACCUGUUGGUGUUAGGGCAGCUGCAGGACUUCGACGUUGUGCUCGUAUGGAUUGGCUGACGCGGUACUAUGCUACUAUCGAUUGUGGAGCGAGGACAGUGACAUUCCGCGAGCCAGGCCAGGAGGAGUUCACUUUCAGAGACUGCAGAAGCACAUUGUUUGCCACCUAGAUAUCUUCGGCGAGGGCUCGACAGAUGCUGAGUAGUGGAUGUAUUGCUUUUCUAGCGGCGGUUGUAGAGGUGCCUAUGGCGGCGCCGGGACUCGAGGAUAUCCCUAUAGUCCGCGAGUUUCCAAAUGUGUUUCCCCCUGAGUUGACUACAAUGCCACCAGAGAGGGAGAUAGAGUUUGUGAUUAAUGUAGUUCUUGAAACUGCACCAAUCUCAAAGGCACCUUACCGGAUGGCACCGGCAGAGCUGAGAGAGCUAAAGGCGCAGCUUCAGGAUCUGAUGGAUAGGGAGUUUGUGAGACCCAGUGUGUCGCCUUGGGGAGCGCCCGUGUUAUUUGUUAAGAAGAAGGAUGGUUCACUCAGGCUGUGUGUAGACUACUGGAAGCUGAAUAAAGUGACCAUCAAGAACAAGUAUCCUUUACCGCGCAUUGAUGAUUUGUUUGAUCAGCUGCAGGGAUCUUGUGUCUUCUCGAAGAUUGAUCUCCAGUCAGGUUACCACCAGUUGAGGGUGAGGGCCGAGGAUGUUCCCAAGACGGCUUUUCGGACUCGGUACGGGCAUUAUGAGUUCACAGUGAUGCCUUUUGGAUUGACGAAUGCCCCUGCCGCAUUCAUGGAUUUGAUGAACAGAGUGUUCAAGCCGUUCUUGGACAGGUUUGUGGUAGUCUUCAUCGACGAUAUCUUGAUAUACUCCCGGAGCGAUGCCGAGCAUGAGGAGCACUUGAGAACUGUGCUACAGCUUCUGCGAGAGAAGAAGUUGUAUGCCAAGUUAAAGAAGUGCGAGUUCUGGUUAUGGGAGGUUGCUUUCUUGGGCCAUGUGAUUUCAGCAGAGGGGGUAGCAGUGGAUCCGAGGAAGAUUGAUUCUAUUCGAGAUUGGCCCAGACCGACGACGGCGACUGAGGUGCGGAGUUUCCUGGGACUGGCAGGAUAUUACCGUCGGUUUGUGGAAGGCUUUGCGAAGCUUUCCACCCCGCUCACUCGAUUGACUCGAAAGGGGAUUAGAUUCAUCUGGAGUGAGGAUUGUCAGAGGAGCUUUGAUGAGUUGAGACAGAGGUUGACGUCAGCUCCUAUCCUUGCCCUCCCUGUGAUGGGGGAAGGAUUUGUGAUCUACAGUGAUGCAUCGCACAGUGGAUUGGGUUGUGUGCUGAUGCAGCAUGGUAGGGUAAUUGCUUAUACUUCACGGCAGUUAAAGGAGUACGAGAAGAAUUAUCCUACACAUGAUUUGGAGUUUGCCACGGUAGUCUUUGCAUUAAAGUUGUGGCGGCAUUACUUGUAUGGCGAGUGUUGCGAGGUUUUCACUGAUCAUAAAAGUCUCAAGUAUCUGUUCACACAGAAGGAGCUAAACCUGAGGCAGCGCCGGUGGUUGGAGUUACUGAAGGACUAUGACAUUAGUAUUCAGUAUCAUCCCGGCAGGGCGAAUGUAGUAGCAGAUGCGUUGAGCAGGAAGGCAGUGCAGAGCCUGAGUUUGAUUAUCACAAAGCAGAGACCGUUACUCGAGGAGCUACAGCGGCUGAGACUCGAGAUAGUGUCCCCUGGGUCUACUGCGAGACUGAUGUCUAUGGUUUUGCAGCCCACUCUGCUGGAUAGGAUCUGAGAGAAACAAAGUGGAGACCCACACAUGUCAAGGAUUCGAGAGCAGCUAGAUCGGGGACAGGCUGAGGGUUUUACUGUGGACAGUUCGGGAGUACUACGGUACAGGGACCGACUAUGUGUGCCUAUGGAUUUAGGGAUCCGAGAGCACAUUUGGAGAGAGGCUCAUUGUUCCCCUUAUACGGUUCACCCAGGUGGAACCAAGAUGUAUAAGGAUUUAAAGGCACAGAUUUGGUGGAAUGGAAUGAAGAGGGACAUUGGCAGGUUUGUGGCUCAUUGUUUGACUUGCCAAUAGGUAAAGGCCGAGCAUCAAGUACCUGCUGGCAAGCUUCAGAGUCUGCCAGUGCUCGAGUGGAAAUGGGAGUAUAUCACGAUGGAUUUUGUCGUAGGGUUACCGAGAGCACAGGGUGGCUAUGAUGCGAUUUGGGUAAUAGUGGACAGACUGACCAAAUCUGCUCACUUCUUACCAGUUCAGGCCACCUGGUCGAGAGAGAGACUCGCACAGCUACCUGGAAGAGAUUGUCAGGCUACAUGGUGUGCCGAGGUCGAUUGUAUUGGACAGGGACCCGAGGUUUGUAUCGCACUUCUGGAAGAGUUUACAAACAGCCUUGGGUACUCAGCUGCAUUUCAGCACAGUGUUCCACCCACAGACAGACGGUCAGUCAGAGAGGACCAUUCAGACUCUAGAGGACAUGCUGAGAGCAUGCGUCCUGGACUUUGGAGGAGGGUGGUAUCGACAUUUGAGAUUGGCUGAGUUUGCGUACAACAACAGCUAUCAAACAAGCAUUCAGAUGGCUUCGUUUGAAGCGUUGUUGUUAAGGAUUUUCUAGGUUGGCGGAUUUCGUGAAGUCGAAUGGAGUCUUGAAGAGUUUAUCGCAAAGUUUUAAAGAGAAGAUUCAAUAUGAAGAUCAAAGACUCAUUCGUAAAGCUCGGCACCUCAGGUAUGAAUGGUAGAUCAUUUGUGGUAUGUUUAACUAUAAGUUUAGAAGACUUGGAUUGCCUUAGAAAACUUAAUCUGAAGUUUUCAGUGUUUAGGGACCGGUCCCAGGGUUAAGAGACCGGUCCCCGAGGGUCCUUACUGCGUAGAAUAUUGAGGCAACUGGUCUCUGGGAAGUGAGACCGGUUCCCAAGCAUGGGUUUUUCGAGCACGCAGCGAAGGACCGGUCUCUGGCAUGAGAGACCGGUUCCCGAAUGUUGUGUUUUCUGUCACACAGCAAGGGACCGGUCUCCCACCCGAGGGACCGGUCUCUUACAGACCGGUCUCCUUGAGAGGACCGGUCCCUGAGGACGACACCAGUUUUUAAAAUAGACUUUUUGCAAUCCUAGUCUAAUUCUAAGUCUCCUAAACUUAUAAAUAAGCCAUGGGGGUCAUCAUAGAGUAUAAUACUUAGAAUGUUUACCUAUCUAAAACUCUAAAAACUUGAUUUCAUGUUUUCGAAUUAUCAACCAUCAAUUUGAUUCUUAGGUAUUAACUUGAGAAUUUCUCCAUGAAUCAAGUUGAUAUUUGAUUAGAAGGUGAACCCUCAUCGCUUAUGGUAUUCUAAGUCUCAAUCACCACAAAUCAUCUAUUCUACGAGCUCCGGAAGGAGGGUUGGCGCGUGGAUUUCGCGUGAGGCCGAGGAUUCGGUGGACGCCUUGAGGAUUCGAGGUGUUGGCGCGGCAAGGAGUUGCGGCGGGAUCGAUUGGAGGAUUCCGAUCGAUCAAGGACCGGCGAAGACAAUCUACAUCAAGAAUUCGGUAAAUUGAGUCGUGUAUUUUGGGUAAAUCACUUGUACUUAAGUUUUCUUAGUGAAUUUCUUCGUGUGAUCGGUCCCGUGGGUUUUUCACUCCGGAUUGAAGUUUUUCCACGUUAAAUCUCGGUGUAUUGUUUUUAUUUUUCACUAUUUAGUUUUAUUUUGCAUCGAGAGUUUUGAUUUUUGCCGUUUACACCUAUUCACCCCCCUCUAGGUGUUAUUUACCUUUUAGAUCCUCGGGAUCCAUAACUAACAAGUGGUAUCAGAGCGGGUAUAGGUUGUAAACUAUGGCCGAGGGCGGUAACAUCAAUCGACCCCCUCUCUUCGAUGGCACUAAUUACGCUUAUUGGAAAGUUCGUAUGAGAGCGUUUCUUAUUGCCAUUGACGAGCGGGUUUGGCAAUCAAUUGAAUUCGGGUGGAAACAUCCUACCGAAGUUGUCGAGGAUGUUAGCGUUCCCAAACCUAGGAAUAAGUGGACGAAAGACGAAAAUGAAUUAUCUUCAUUUAACGGAAAGGGUAUCAAUGCUUUAUUCAAUGCUUUGAAUCAAACCGAAUUUUCUCGUGUUUCGGCGUGUGAAACUGCCAAAGAGAUUUGGGACACUUUACAAAUUACACAUGAGGGUACAAACUUAGUAAAGGUUCAAAAAUUGCAAAUGUUGACUAGUCAGUUCGAUUCUAUUCGUAUGGAAGAACAUGAAACCUUUACUGAGUAUUAUACUCGUUUGCAAGAUAUUAUCAAUACAUGUGCAAAUUUGGGAGAGAAAAUUUCGGACUCUAAAAUUGUUAGAAAAAUCUUGAGAACCCUUCCCGGACGAUUUUGUCCUAAGGUUGCAGCCAUAGAAACGGUAAAACAUCCGGAUGAGUUAAAAGUAGAAGAAUUAGUUGGUGCACUUCAAAGUAAUGAGAUGACUUUUCCUUCUAAUUCAUCUUCUUCUAAGUUGUCUUCUAAAGCUUUAGGUAUGGCACUCAAAUCAACAAAAGAAGGCAACGUGGAACUUUCUUCUUCGGAUUCGGACUCGGACUCGGACGUAACCUUGGAAGAGUUUGAGAAACAAAUGGCACUUUUGACUAAAAAGUUCUGUUGGAACUUUAGAAAGAAAUUUCCUUCCAAGUCAACUCCCUCCAAGCCAAACAAAUCAAAAGGGAGUUCGUCUUCUUCUUCGUCAAAGUUCAAAAAAUCGGAAAACUUUCAAAAGGACUCUACAAAAGAGAAGAAAAGUGAAGAUCAAAUUCAAUGUUAUAAAUGUAGAGGAUUUGGCCAUAUUGCAUCGAAUUGUCGAAAUAAAAAGUCUUUGAAAAAGAAAACGAUACAAGCUAUUACUUGGGAUGACUCCACUUCUGACGAUUCAACCUCAAGUGAUGAGGAUGUUAAUUCCACGGCACUUAUUGCAUAGGAUUCAACCUUUAUGUGUUUAGCAUCCUCUGAAUCUAUUUCUAUGUCUCCGUUACACGAAAAAUCUACAUUGGAGAACUCAUCAGAUGAAGAAUCGGAUGAAGAUGACAUGGUCGCCGCAUAUCAUCAACUUGUUGUUGAGUCAAAGAAGAUAGCUAAACACAACAAGAGUUGCGACGAAGUUUGUACGAUCUGGAUCAAGAAAAAGCAAGAUUAGAGGUGCUAAAUAAAAGUCUGGAACAAGAAAAGGAUGGUUUGACUAAGUCCUACAAUUCUUUAUUAGAUAAAUGUACUUUGGUUGAGAAGGAAAAGGAGUCGUACGUUGAGAAUAUCAAUUUUCUCACCAAGCAAUACACCGAAGCUAGAGAAUCCAAUAUGGAAUUCACCAAGACGAUUAUUCAACUCAAAUCGGAUUUAAAUCAAUUUUCGUCUAGCACUAGCAAACUCAACAAGAUGUUAGGACUUGGUCAAACAAACAAAUUCGGUCUUGGAUAUGAACGGACGUACAUUGAUCAAGGAGUUGAGAAAAUUGGCGAACCUUCGACGAAACCGACCCCUAAGCCUCAAGGUAUAUUCAUUCCUCCAAAGAAUUCUUUUGCUAAUAAAACUUGUCAUCUUUGUGGUGUUGUAGGUCAUGUGAAAAGGUUCUGCAAACUAAAGUCGAAGAAUCCUACAACAUCCUUGAACCAAAGGACAUCUUGGAAGCCAAGGAUGAAUGAUUCAAACUCAAAGGCAAAACAUUCAUGGACGUCUGAGAAGGAUGAUCUUAAGAAAAAACAAGCUUGGAAGCCGAAGAAGGAUGAUCCCAAGAAGAAGUUAACUCAAAUCGUCGACAAGACACGAUCACCAAAAGCAAGUCAACCGACGCAACCCAAAACACGUAAGGUUUGGGUGCGCAAAGGUGAACUCUUCCCAGGCAUCAUUCACACAUCACUUCAUGCUUACGAUAAUACUUCUUGAUAUCUAGAUAGUGGUUGUUCCCGAUAUAUGACCGGCGAUAAAAAUUGGUUUACUUCCUUGAACAAAAUCUCCGGAGGCUUGUUGUUUUCGGAGACGGUUGGUCAUCCAAAAUUAUUGGAAAAGGAACAAUUACUAUCUCGGAUGGCCCCAUCUUGAAUGAUGUUUUCUAUGUUAAGGCGCUUAAGUCAAACCUCGUAAGUAUAAGUUAAUUGUGUGAUGACGGGUAUUCCGUGAAAUUUUCUGCUAAGGAAUGCAUUGUGACACUUGAUGAUGACUCUCUAUUUUUAAAAGGUGUUAGGUCACAAAAUAAUUUCUAUGUAGUUCCUAGUGCCUCAAAUGAGCAGUGUAACCUAGCGACAUUAGAGACUGAAACACUAUGGCAUGAACGUCUAGGUCACAAAAACUUUAAGGAAUUAUCUAAAAUUUCGAAGAAGGAGAUUGUUAGAGGUGUACCUAAGAUAGAUUUCAAAGAGAAUGCUAUGUGUGGGGGUUGUCAACUGGAAAAGCAAACUAGGUCCACACAUAAGAAUUUGAACAACUUAGGGACAUCUAAACCCUUAGAGUUACUUCACAUGGACUUGAUGGGACCUUCUAGAAUUCAAAGUUUGGGUGGAAAACGAUAUAUCUUACUUAUUGUUGAUGAUUUUACUCGAUAUGUAUGGUCUGCUUUCUUGCGUGAGAAAGCAGAUACUUUUGAUUCUUUUUCCGAAACCUGUCUCCGUCUUAUGAAUGAACAUAAUGAUAAAAUUAUGCGCAUUCGAAGUGUUCAAGGGGGAGAAUUCAUAAAUUCAAAAUUUGUUGAUUUUUGUGUUUCAAAAGGUAUUAAACAUGAAUUCUCUGCUCCCUAUACACCUCAACAGAAUGGAGUUGUUGAACGCAAAAAUCGGGUUGUAUAAGAGAUGGCACGUGUUAUGCUUCAUAGUAAGAAAAUUGCUUUACAUUUUUGGGCCGAAGCGGUUAACAUGGCCGUCUAUGUUAUCAAUCGGAUUUAUGUGCGUCCAGGUACUUUGAAUACUCCGUAUGAAUUUUGGCUUGGUAGAAAACCUAAUAUUAAAUACUUUCGUGUCUUCGGGAGUAAGUGUUUUAUCCUUCGGGAUCGUGAAAUCUUGGAAAAUUUGACUCCCGAAGUGACGAGGGGAUCUUUCUUGGUUAUUCUACUAUAAGUCGUGCUUAUCGUGCGUACAAUUUACAAACUAAGACGGUGAUAGAAUCUAUCAAUAUAAAAGUAGACGAAGCUUCUUCAGUAAGAUCUUCUGUGAAUGGUUCAUCAGAUACCUUGAUUGAUGAUAAUAAUGAUUCUUCAUUUGUAUUACCUGUGAAUGAUGAUAUUUCUGCAUCUGAUAAUCCGGCAUCGUCUGAAAUUACUGCAUCAAAUGAUUCAUCUGAAACCCCAAGCAACUCAUCUGAAACUCCAAGUACAUCAUCUGAGACCGUACCAACGAAAAUGUCAAAAGAUCACCCAUUAUCCAAUGUGAUAGGAGAUCCUCAUACUGGUGUGAGGACGAGAAGACAACUUCAAUGCGAAUUUUCUUGUUAUGUAUCUGUAAUUGAGCCUAAGAAUAUUGACGAAGCUCUUUUGGAUGAAUAUUGGAUAAAUGCUAUGCAGGAGGAACUUGGUCAAUUCGUUCGUAAUGAUGUGUGGGAAUUAGUGCCACGACCUAAGCAACAGCACAUAAUUGGUACCAAAUGGAUUUUUAAGAAUAAGAAAAAUGAGGAUGGUACUAUUGUUAGAAACAAAGCAAGACUUGUUGCUCAGGGAUACUCACAAAUUGAGGGAAUAGAUUUUGAUGAAACCUUUGCCCCAGUUGCUCGUCUUGAAUCAAUUCGUAUAUUGUUUGCGAUAGCCUGUCAUUUUAAAAUUACUCUUUUUUCAAAUGGAUGUCAAAAGUGCAUUUUUAAACCGAUUUUUAAAAGAAGAGGUUUAUGUUGAACAACCAAAAGGUUUUAUAGACUCAAAAUCUCCGGACCAUGUUUUUCGAUUGAAAAAGGCACUUUAUGGACUCAAACAGGCACCGCGAGCAUGGUACGAACGUUUGACAAAAUAUCUUUUACAAAAAGGCUACAACCGAGGGGGAGCAGAUAGAAUUCUUUUUGUAAAACACUCGAAAAAUGAUUUUAUUGUGGCACCAAUUUAUGUUGAUGACAUUGUUUUUGGGGCAACUAAGGAUAAAGAUGCCACUGAAUUUGCAAAGAUGAUGACAAGCGAGUUUGAGAUGUCGAUGAUGGGGGAGCUUAAUUACUUUCUUGGACUUCAAGUUAAACAAACUAAAGAAGGAAUUCACUUGUGUCAAUCCAAAUAUGCAAAAGACUUGGUUAAGAAGUUUGGCCUGGACAAUGCAAAGGAUUUUGAUACUCCAAUGGGUACAAGUAACAAAGGACUUGGAUUGAAUCCGGAAGGACAAAGUGUAGAUGAGAAACAGUAUAGGAGCAUGAUUGGGAGCUUAUUAUAGUUGACUGCAAGUAGACCGGAUAUUGCAUUUAGUGUUGGAAUUUGUGCUCGCUAUCAAGCUAAUCCUAAGGAGAUUCAUUUGAAAGCGGUUAAGAGAAUUAUUCGGUAUGUUAAAGGAACAACCGCAUUUGGCCUAUGGUAUCCGAAGGGAACAUCUUUGGAUUUGAUUGGUUACUCGGAUGCGGAUUGGGCUGGUUCAGCAGAUAAUAGAAAAAGCACCAGUGGAGCAUGUUUCUAUCUUGGUCAUUGUCUUGUUGCUUGGCAUAGUAAAAAAUAAAACUGUAUUGCACUCUCUACUGCCGAGGCUGAGUAUAUCUCUGAUGGUAGUUGCUCCACUUAGUUGUUGUGGAUGAAAAGCUUACUGAGCGACUAUCGAAUUCCGUCCACCACUUUUACAAUUCUAUGUGACAACACGAGUGCUAUUAAUAUUUCAAAAAACCCUAUUUUACAUUCACGAAUAAAGCAUAUUGAACUAAGAUAUCAUUUUUUAAGAGAAUUGGUUGAAUCAAACGUUCUUCAACUUGAAUAUAUUUCAACUGAAAAUCAACUUGCGGAUAUUUUAACUAAGCCUUUAGAUCAAAAACGUUUUCUACAUUUAAGAAAGGCUAUUUGUAUAAAUCCUUCAACCUAGAUGCAUUCUACUGGGCCAUAGAUCAUGCGCAUAUUGCAUUUUGUUUCUGUGCAUGUUUUUCGGUUUUUCUAUGAUUAUUUUUGAGAGAUGAUUGAGUUUCAUGAAUGGUGUCACUGUCAAUGUUAUGUUUUUGGAAUAUAAAUUGGUUUUUGUGAGCUCUACCAUAUGGCUUUAAUUGUUUCAUAUUAUAUUUUGAUUGAUCACUGUCAAUGUUAUUCUCAUUGUCAUAAUUUUUGAAUGCUUAAAUCAUUCAAAUUCUGUUUUAGUAUAUUGAAUUAAAUUCAAGCUUAAAUCAUUCAAAUUCUGUUUUAGUAUAUUGAAUUAAAUUCAACACCUCAUGCUUCGAACUUUGAACGUUGCAAUUAUUUUGUUUGAUUAUUAGCUAUGAGAUGAAUAAUUGUUUCUCUGUUUUUGAAAUUGUGAUAAUAUUUUUGAUUUGACGGUUGCACUAAUUUAGGGGGAGUCUUUUCGGUUAUGAAAAUUUCUUAAAUUCAAAAGAUGUGGAAAGAGUUACAUCCCUGUUGGGAGUGUGAAAACUACCACCACAUGGAGGAAAGAGCUACCACCCCGGUCGUCCGGUCAGUAUGUGCAGCUACCACAUGUUGAUUGAAGUAUCUCUAUAAGACAAAAAGAAAAUACUUUAAAAAUUAAUGAUUUGAGAUAUUUUGGAGAUGAUAAAAUAAAAAAAGGAUGCUCAAAGAGCCAUACAUCUCCUAGGUGAUAUAAGGUGGAAUGUUAAAAAGAUUCUUAAAGAGCCACUCCUAUCUCGAAUAUUGUGCAUAACUCAAUUUGAAUAUAUUAUUUUAAUUUCACGAGUGUGAGAUGUAUUUAUUCAUUAUUUUAGUAAAUAUGAGGAUAAAACAAUACAAUUAAUUUUUAGAUCUUGCAUGAUGUGUGGAAUUUUAUUUUAUACUUAUCUAGAAUUUUAUUUGGUUUUCGGAUAAGCAAUUUCUGACUUUUGGAAUAUCCUUGAAAUUGAUGUUUCAAAAUUUAUUUAUGAAAUUUUAUUUGAAGUCAUUGGGGAUGAAAAUUGGUUAUUUUUGUAUUGGGGGAUCUUUACAUAUCAUAUAAAUUUUUUUGAAAAAUCUUUGAACUUGAAAUAAAAUUUCUUGGACAUUCUGGCUCUGGGACCGGUCCCAGCCUUGGAGAGACCGGUCUCUCCGCCCAACCCGAUAUAAGGGGCUCGGUUCGUUCUUGAUUUACACUUUACCAUCUUCUCUAAAAUUUUACCUACGCGCCCUAGACAUCUUCAGUGAGAUUUUGCUUGUGUUCCUUGUCGAUUUGCACGUGUUUUCGGUAAGAUCUUCAGAUUUCAUAUCAUUUCUCUCAUGUAUUCCGAAAAUGUGAUUUAUUUUUGUGUUUUUGGGAUUUGAUCUUGAAACCUUGUUGAAUCUUUUUUUGUUUGUGUUGACCUUAAUACUAAACAUGUUGUUCAACAUUCCAUUGCGUUACUGCAUGAUCUGGUUCAUAGAUUUGCCCAAUUUUUCGAGGUUUUACUGUUAAAACCUAGGUUUUCGAUUAUGUUUCAAAAACUGAAUUUUUGCUGGUAUUUGUUGCAUGAUUUUUCUAUGUUUUUGUGGCCCUAGGAUCAUCUAGCUAAUUUCAUAUCAUUUUGCAAAACUUGUUGACAUCAAAGGGUAAAAUGUUCUUAUGUUCAAUAUGCAUAAAUUUUUGUGUUCAACAGGAGUUUUUUAAACAUGUAUUCGUGGCUACUUGUGCUCAUGUUUCUCAUGGCCGGUGGUGGUCGGGGAAGCAAGCGACAACGAUCGUCGGCAAAACAACCGGUUGAGCGACAACCGGAGGAUGAGGGAAGCGAAUAUUUGCCGGGCGAAGAGGCCGAGGAAUCAGAAGCUGAUCAACCUGAUUGGGAGGCACUUACACCAGAAGUGCUUUCAAAGAAAAAGGGUAAAGCACCCGCAGCUGUAGAAAAGGAUAAGGCGAAAGGAAAAGGAAAGGGCAAAGAAAAGGUUGUUGACAAGGGAAAAGAAAAAGCUACUGAAUAUGAAGGUCGGAGGAAGUCUGGGGGUUUUGAGAUUCGAGAGCUUGUUUCAGAGCCUCCGCGGCACAGUGUUCAGGAUGUUCCAUCACGUCGUCGCUCUAUGUAUUCUUCAAAACAAUGUACUGGUGAGCAUGCAGUUGGAGUCGCUAAUAUCAUUGAGUGUGUUUCGGCGUUUCAAGCUCUAUUUGAAAAUGGGAAUCUUCAUAAGAUUUGUGAGUUCCCUGAGCAAAUUGGAUACUGUUUGGAGCUUAUUAGAGAAUUUUAUAUGCGAGCAGGACAUCUGAGUGAGCCUGACGGUGGCCCUUACAUGUUCACUACUUCAGUGCGAGGUGUGGAGUUGACAAUCACGCCUGAUACUAUAGCAUCAGUACUGGAGAUGUCUGCUCGAACUGAUGGUAUUUGCAGGCAGGUUUUGAUUCGUUUCGUGAUUGGCAACGUGUUUUGAAUGCCAUUUGUAUGCCGGGUACAGAGUCGAAUGGAAUUUUAAUAAUGUCUAAAGAUUUGAAGAUGGAAUACAAGUUUCUGAACUUUGUUGUUUGUUAUAACAUUUUGUCUCUGAUGAACACGAAGAUAUUGAGAUGGGAACGCAUUCUAUACAUGUAUCUGUUGGGUAACCUGGAUAUUGUUAAGGCCAGGAACAUCAAUUUGAACAUUCCGUUUCUGAUUUGGCGGAGAAUGGCGAAGGAUAUUAAGACUUCAGGUCAGAAUGAGCGGUUGCCCUUCCUAUUAAUCAUCAUGAGGAUUUUGCGACUAUUUGAUGUGGAUACGCGUUGUGCAACCUAUAAGCAUAGUCUGGGAUGGAUUAGUGAGUCGACUUUUGUGAAGUCAUUUGUGCAACUUCAAUCCCCAUCUCAGCGACCUUCUCCGCCUCCAGCUGCGCCGUCUCAUCCUUCUGUGGAGACUUCUGAUGAAGAUGUAUCGGUGUCAUCCAUUUAUCGUGAGCAACAACGAUUAUUCGAAGAGCUUCAGAAGUUAUCAGCGGAUCAGGCUCAGAUAAGGAAGGAUGUGAGCAAGAUUAAACAUUUAAUGAAAGCAAUCUUUGAUAAAUUGGGUUGUUGUAGUUCCGAUCUUCCUCCGCAGGGUGAUGACUUAGACUAAGUGGUGCAGGGUUCCUCCUUUUGUCGUUUUGGCAUUUUCUUGACAAAAAGGGGGAGUAGAUGAUGAUGAUGAUGAUGAUGAUGAUGAUGCAUGAUGAUGAUGCUUAGUUGAUGACGCUUAGAUACUAUGUUUAGAUGAUGCUUAGAUGCUAUGUUUUUAUGUUUUUAGAUUUUGGACUCUUGACUUGACUGUAGACUUGACUGUAUGAUGUUUAUGUUUAGUCAUUAAAGAAACUCUUGAAUCUUGACUCUGUUUUGAGAUUGUUUUUACAGGAACCUUCAAGACUUCAAGACUCCAUGUCUAAGUCAUAGAGUUUGUAUUAGGUUUGUGAGAUACAUGUAAUUUUUACUUUAUUGGAUCGAUCAUGCAGGAGAUUAUCGUUUGGUGAUUGCGAUGAUUUUCUUUUUAUUAUUUCUGAGUUGUGUACGAGUGUUGUAUUAUGUUUUUGUCACGAAAUCGCCAAAGGGGGAGAUUGUUAAGGAUUUUCUAGGUUGGCGGAUUUCAUGAAGUCGAAUGGAGUCUUGAAGAGUUGAUCGCAAAGUUUUGAAGAGAAGAUUCAAUAUGAAGAUCAAAGACUCAUUCGUAAAGCUCGGCACCUCAGGUAUGAAUGGUAGAUCAUUUGUGGUAUGUUUAACUAUAAGUUUAGAAGACUUGGAUUGCCUUAGAAAACUUAAUCUGAAGUUUUCAGUGUUUAGGGACCGGUCCCAAGGUUGAGAGACCGGUCCCCGAGGGUCCUUACUGCGUAGAAUGUUGAGGCAACCGGUCUUUAGGAAGUGAGACCGGUUCCCGAGCAUGAGUUUUUCGAGCACGCAGCGAAGGACCGGUCUCCCACCCGAGGGACCGGUCUCUCAUAGAUCGGUCUCCUUGAGAGGACCGGUCCCUGAGGACGACGCCAGUUUUUAAAAUAGACUUUUUGCAAUCCUAGUCUAAUUCUAAGUCUCCUAAACUUAUAAAUAAGCCAUGGGGGUCAUCAUAGAGUAUAAUGCUUAGAAUGUUUACCUAUCUAAAACUCUAAAAACUUGAUUUCAUGUUUUCGAAUUAUCAACCAUCAAUUUGAUUCUUAGGUAUUAACUUGAGAAUUUCUCUAUGAAUCAAGUUGAUGUUUGAUUAGAAGGUGAACCCUCAUCGCUUAUGGUAUUCUAAGUCUGUAUCACCACAAAUCAUCUAUUCUACGAGCUCCGGAAGGAGGGUUGGCGCGUGGAUUCGGGAUGCGAGCCAUGGGUCGGACCACUGUCCACGACCCUCCAGAAAAUCUGAAAAAACUCGAAACACAGAUCAAACACUCGAACCUUGCCAUUUGCAAAAGUUCAGUGUGUUACAGCUAUAUUACAGGAAGCUCAUCAGUCACCUUAUAGUAUACAUCCAGGUGGCACUAAGAUGUACAAAGAUCUUAAAGUGCAUUAUUGGUGGCCUGAGAUGAAGAAAGAUAUUGGACAGUUUGUGGCGCAGUGUUUGACCUGUCAGCAAGUGAAAGCUGAGCGUCGAUUCCCUGCAGGAAAGUUGCAGAGUCUACCUAUUCCUGUUUGGAAGUGGGAGAACAUUGCGAUGGAUUUUAUUGUUGGAUUACCUCGCUCGCAGGUUGGACAUGACACUAUUUGGGUGAUUGUUGAUCGAUUGACGAAAUCGAUGCAUUUCUUGCCGAUUCAUGCUACUUGGUCAGGGGACAAGUUAGCACAGGUGUACCUCGAUGAGAUUGUGAGAUUACACGGAGUCCCGACGUCGAUUGUAUCUGAUCGAGACCCGCGGUUUACAUCUCACUUCUGGAGGAGUUUGCAGGAUGCUCUGGGCACACGACUCGAUUUUAGUACAGCAUUCCAUCCUCAGACCGAUGGACAGUCCGAGAGGACGAUUCAGAUUUUGGAGGAUAUGCUACGGGCGUGUGUACUCGACUUCAGGGGUAGUUGGCAUAGUUUCUUAGCAAUGGCCGAGUUCGCCUAUAAUAACAGUUAUCAAGAAAGUAUCGCUAUGGCACCGUUUGAAGCCCUUUACGGGAGGAAAUGUCGAUCCCCUAUUCAUUGGAGUGAGGUGGGAGAAAGACUUGUGCUUGGCCCUGAUGUGCUCUAAGAAACGGAGGAGAAGGUACGCCUAGUCCGCCAGAGAUUGUUGACGGCCCAGUCACGGCAACAAAGUUAUGCCAAUAAGCGCCGAAAGAACUUGGAGUUUGCGGUUGGCGAUCGAGUAUUCUUGAAGGUGUCGCCAAUGCGCGGGAUAAAGAGAUUUGGUGUUCGAGGAAAGCUUAGUCCUCGAUACAUCGGGCCCUACGAGAUUUUAGAACGAGUUGGAGCGGUAGCUUAUAGAUUGGCUUUACCGCCGAAGUUCGAAGGAAUACAUAAUGUGUUUCAUGUUUCGAAUCUUCGCAAAUAUGUACAUCAUCCUGGACAUGUUUUGGAGUUCGAACCAGUAGAAUUGUAGGAGAAUAUGACUUACGAAGAGUAUCCAAUAUGCAUCUUGGAUCGUGGUGUAAAGGAAUUGCGAAAUCGCACUAUUCCCUAUGUGAAAGUGCAAUGGAGAAAUCAUUUGAGUCGAGAAGCUACUUGGGAAUUGGAAGAAGCUAUGCGCGAAUCUUAUCCUCAUCUAUUCGACCAGGAGAACUAGGUCUGAAUUUAAGUUUCAAGGAUGAAACUAAUUAAGGAGGGGAGAUUGUAAUAUGUCGAAAAUUUCGACUACGCGGCUAAUCUUGAUCAAAUUGAUCGAAGUAAUGCCAAAACGAAAAUUAAUUGCUCCCAAAUUGAAGUGGUAACUUGUAGAGGUUAUUUGGCAUAAAUUGGAAGCUACUAGGAUUGUUCGAAGCGAACUAGACGCGCAAAAAAAGACUUUGAAUGGCUGCUGCUAGGUUCUUGUUAGUGCAGGGACUAAAUUACGAACUUGCAGGGACUGAACUGCGAACCAGCAGGGACUGUUUUGUGAAAACUGUAGUCUUAGUAGUUGGGAGGGGUAAAGUGCAAUUAUUUGAUCUUAUCUGAACCCUAGCUUACCCCCUGCAGCUGCUACGUGCCUGGGAUCCCCUCUUCAUUAUCUUCUUUCCAUCCUUUUUCCCUCUCUAUCUCUCUUAACACUAGCUGUUGCUAGGUGAAGAAAUAAGUAGGGAAGUUGACAGUAGUAGGGAUUUUGGGCUGAUUGGAGCUGCUGAACAGGAAAUUUGAGUUGUUAGAGCUGGGAGCAACCAAGUAGAGCACCUAAUUAAGGUAAACAUGAUUUAGUAUUUGAUUAUAGUUAAACUAUUACCUUAGAAUUGAAUUAUAUAAGUAUUUCUUGCUGCUAGUGUGGGCAGACUUGAUGCUUUGGCUGAGUUGAGUGCCGAGCAGGAAUUUCAGCUGAGGAGAGGAAACUUGACUUGAAAAGAACUUGGGUAAGUAGAUACUCCUUCUUCGGCUUGAGUAGGAGUUAUGCUAUUUACUCUAGAAGAAUUAUAAGUCACAAAAUUAACUAUUCCCUGCUGCAGGAACUGUGAAAAAAAGGGAGAAUUGGUGAAGUGUUGUAGGGCUGCUACUUUGGUGAAUCUAGGCGCCCAAAUUGAAGAAGGCUGAUGGAGCUUCUUUAGUAUCUCAAAUUAAAGGAAAUUGGUGGAGCCUGGAAGCUAGGUAAGAAGGAUAAGUAUUCUUUGGUUAGAGUAAUAUUAGCAUCCUAAAAGAAUGAUGAACAAAGAAAUUAAGUAGGCUGAAAUUAUAAAGGGCUGUGAAGUAAGGGUAAAGUGCAGAUUUCAGCAUCUAAAAUCCUUGCUGUUGGAGCUGCCAAAGUGGAAAUCAGCUAAGGAAAGCUUGGAAUUAGAGGUAGAAAGCUUGUUUCUCAGCUAGGAUAAUAGUUGUCACGUCCCGGGACCGACGGAGGCCCUCCCGGUAGCGCGCCCAGACCCGCCAUAUGUCAGCACAUAUCAAGCGUCUACAAAAACAGCAGAAAAUAAAACUAAAGAGGUAAUCUACAACUAGAGAUAUCAGAGCAAGAGUAAAUCUAUCAUCUAUAACAAGGUGAUAGAAAGUAUACUAAACAAUAAUAGUGAGUCAUAAAGUUAUACAAUAACCAUCUCCGAAAAGGUACAAAAAGGGGUGGUCUCUAUACAUGGGUGAAACUCUCAACCUCUCCAAAAAGGAAAUAACGAGAGGUAGACCACCUAUCGACGCAUCCCUCGAUAGCAAGCUAGCUCGAGGCGAUACCUUUUCCGCGGUCCCUAGCCUCUCCCGGUGUGGAAGGCUCUAAAAUAAGACAUAAAACAGAGGGCGUGAGAACUAUAAUUUAUAGUUCCCAGUGGGCAAUUACUGACCUCAGCUCAAUGCACCACUAGGCCCCGAAAGAAAAGGGUAAGUACGAUAAGCAACAAUAAUGAUAGUAAUAACUGCUUUAGUAAGUUUACUAUACCAUAAACUUCACGGUGUCAAAGCGAUGUACAUUUACUCUUUCAUAAAGAAGAAUGCCCAAUGCAUGAAUAAUAUGUCCCAAUAGGGCAACAAAUAAGUAUCAUGACCCAUCUAUCAGUAUAUAAUGUUUAUGCUCUUAUCAUAGCAAUCAAGUAUAUUAUGAUGCAAUAAGUAAACCAUCAAGUAUACUACAUGUCUCUACACUCUGCUAUAAACAUGUCAAAGUAAUCUAACUACUGAGCCUAUCUAGUAGUGAUUAUCCAUUCUCAACACUGUGUCGAUUUCCAUUUCCAAUUAAGGGCCUACCCAUGGUAGUCCAGCUUGUGCCACCUAAGUGUCGGUGGUAGCUCCAACAUUUUCACUCUAGGAAUGAGUCUAUCCCUCUGACCCCGUAGGUUUCUCGAUACCGCACGAGCGAGCAUAAGUCGCGUAGGCCAACUCCGGAGUGCUGGCUUGUGGGGAGCGACCCUCACAAGCAUGUGCGAAUGAGCACAAAUGGCAAGCAAGUAUAGUCAACGUCUCAAAAGUCCAAUCAUCAUGUCUCUACAUGGUAAAAGUUACUAGUAUCUCAAAGUGAUGUAGCACUAGGUCACAAUGUGAAGUUCCAACAUCCACUAAGUUUAGUGCCCUUUAUGACACUUAGACAACUCUAUAUUCAAGCACGUUCCAAUUCCCAAAUCUCUCAAUGGCCCUAUCUACUAGGUUCACACAUAACCCGAGCUCAAUACCGCUUUAUGAUAUUAGCUCACAAUUUCGCAUGUCAAUCUUGUCUAAUGCCUCUUUAUGGCAUUGUAGUAGUUCCAUGUCCAAUGAGAAUUUAAGUUCAAGGGCACUUACACAUGUUAUGUUAUUUCUACUAUAAGAAACAUGGUCCCAAAUCCCACCCGGAAUGCUAAAUGCAACCAUAAGCCCCACAUGCAACUCUCUACUACAUAGAGGUCCCAAAAUGCAUUAUAUGUAACAUAGGCAUUUUAAGCAUUCUAAAAUUCAUAAUAAAUACAUUUAACAUGAAUAUGCAUGAUUUUCCAAUUUACGAUACUCAAAUUAUCCCAAAUGAGAAUUUCUCAUUGUGCGGCUAGGUCAAACCCACCGAAGCGUCUCGGAACCCUUCGUAAGCUCCAACGAAGAUGUCCACAAGUCUCCUAGCACCCUAGGAGCAUCAAAAAGUGAGAUACAAGAAGUAAACGAGCAACUCCUAGCUCAAACAUUAACCUACCAAGCAAAAGGGCCAAAAUCUCACCUAUAGUGUAGAAACCUUUUCCAAAGCUCAAAUGGAAGCUAGAUCCCUUCCAAAGCAACCUAAACCAAUGUUCUAAUAUAAUUAGAUUAGCUCAAAAAGCCCUAAAUCAAAAAGCCCCAAAUAAACCCUAGAUUUCCCAUUCUAAGGUUUCACUCCCAAAAUCCACCAAAAUUAGGUCUAGAUGGGAGGAACAAGCAACAAACCUCUUUAGAAGUUUCAAUCCAAGCUCCAAGGGUGAAGAUUUCCUCUCUUGCAAGCUCCAAGUCCAAACCUUCAAGCACCAACAAGGUGGGAAGAGAAUGAGAGGAAGAUGCUCCAAGUCCUCAAGCUAGAUCCUCCUCCUCUUCUUCUCCUUCUUCUUCUUCUCUUUCUUCUCCUUCUCUAUCUAGGGUGUUGCGAGAGUGAGAGAAAGAGAAAUGAGAAAAGGGAGAGAGUGAAAUGGCCAUAUAAGCCAUCUAAUGUAAAAAAAUCCAAAGAGGCCCCUCAAAUUUGCAAUAUUGCAUCAGCCCGGACUGGGCAGUUUUCGGACUGAGGGACCGGUCUCCCCGACAUGGGACCGGUCUCUCGGCCUGCCCCCAAAAAUCCAACGUUCGGGAACCGGUCUCUCCCUGCAUAGGACCAGUCUCUCCCCACGUGGAUGCGCUCGGGGACCGGUCUCACCCGCCAGGGACCGGUUGCCUUAAGGCUACCGUAAUACUGUUCCGGGGGGACCGGUCUCUCCCAGCCAGGGACCGGUCCCCGAAAGUAAAAACUCUCAGGACUCAUCCAGAACUCAGAUUUUCGAACUUUUUAGGUCGGAAAACAUUUUACGACCCUCCACCAAGUGUAGAAAAGCUCGGAACUCAUCCAAUCACUCGAACCUCGCAAUUUGCACAGGUCCAGUGUGUUAUAUUCACCCCUCCUAAAAAGGAGUUUCGUCCGCGAAACUCGAAAAGACGAAGUACCUCAAGUCUCCAUCUGGAAAAGAUGGGGAUAGCGCUCCCGCAGCGCGCUCUCUAGCUCCCACGUGGCCUCGUGUUCAUCGUGGUUGCUCCAAAGCACCUUCACGUAGGGGAUCUCCCGAUUUCGCAAUCUUUUUACCUCGCGAGCCAAAAUCCUCAAAGGUUGCUCUUCAAAGCUCAAAUCCUCCUUCAGCUCCAAUGGCGUAGCAUCCAACACGUGAGCCGGAUCAUGGGUGUACUUCCGAAGGACCGAUACAUGAAAAAUAUUGUGUACACCCGAUAGGUUCGGAGGUAACGAAAGUCGAUACGCUACCGGGCCUACACGCUCCAGAAUCUCAUACGGUCUAAUGUAUCGGGGGCUCAACUUACCCCGGAUUCCAAAUCUUCUAAUCCCUCUGGUCGGCGAGACUUUCAAGAAGACAUGAUCACCAAUCUGAAACUCCAAGUCCCAUCGACGCUUGUCAGCAUAACUCUUUUGCCUACUCUAGGCUGUCAACAGUCGCUCCCGAGCAAUGCGAACCUUGUCCUCUGCUUCCUGGAGCACAUCAGGACCUAAAGCCAAUCUCUUGCCAACUUCACUCCAAUGAAGUGGCGAUCUACACUUCCGUCCAUAGAGUGCCUCGAAAGAUGCCAUCUUGAUGCUUGCUUGACAACAGACCAUGAGCAUGAUCCAAUCCUCGUCUCGAGAAUACCCUAUCCUCUAGGGUUACAAUCAUCAUAUAGUCCAUAGGUUUCAUAUACACUACGAGUCACAUAUGUCACUUGUUCUUUUGUUUACUAUCAACUAGAUGCUACUCGUUCUUUACAAGUUUUCAAUGCAAUAGCCAAUACAUUACUAAAUUCCCAUCCACACUUAUCAUCUCAUUAUAGGGUUCCACAUCACAUAUAUAAACCUCAAGCAUGCUAGAUAUAAAUACUAAGCCAAAUACAUUAUUCUACCAAAGAACAUGCAAGGUAUAGGACCAAACCAUCAUUUAUCACCCUAUAAUGCAAGAUGUCAAUAUGCAAUUUGAUCAAUAUAAAACUUAGACAUAAAAGGGAGGCCCGGUUGCGUUUCAGAUGGACACACCCACCAUUUUAUCUGCGUUCCGAUUGCUCUCGUCACUCGCAAUUCGCCUCCCCGCGGCGCACGUUGAUCCGGUUCGAGCCAAACUCUUGUGCGACCACCCGAACUGGCCUCCCAAUUCACAAUCAAAUUAAAGGUCUUGCUUAUUCCACGCCAUGCUUCAAAUCGUUUCCCCAGAAUUUACGACGUGCCUCGCCUCCAGUGGAAACAGCCUAAACUCCGUUCUUUAAUAACCUUCGCACCGUCUCGACGAAUCCCGAACCGUUGCUUCCAACGCUCUCAGUGACUAAUGCAAUUAGGUUAUCAAGAGGGUCAAUUAUAUUCACAACUUAUAUUUUCCAACAAUUGCAUUUUGAGCCCUAGGUUUAUAACUAGGCAAGAAUUAACUAAAUUGAUCCUAGAUUCUAGCAAUAAUCAUCUAUUUAGCAUGCUAGAAUAGCUUUAAAUCCAUUCUUGAAGCUUAAAACCCAAACUACAAAGAGAUACCAUAAAAGGGUUUUGAAGCUUACCUUCAAACCUUGCUCCAAUGGAGAGGAAGAAGAUGGAGAAGAUGGAAAUCCACCUUAGAGCUUCGAUCUCCACCAAAAUCAUCUCUUUUUGGGAGAGAUUUAGAGAGAGAAAGGAGAGUUUCUCUCUCUCCCUUCCAUGCGUGUGUGAGUGUGUGUAUGUGGCGCAUGUGUGUGUGCUGCACGGUUGAGGGAGGAAGGAGAAGAAGGGAUUAAUCCCUUUUUACAAGUUAGUCCCUCAACUUUACACUAUUCACAUCAGUUAGCAGUUCGGAACAGUUGGAGCCCUUCUGAAUGUCCGUUUGAGCUCAAAUUUGACAGGCAGUCUCGGUUUAACGUACUGAGUAAGAAUAUGUCUUAAGUUUUCAGUUUCGACCCCGUUUGGUCACCGAAAACUGUGCCGAACUGUAAUCUUAAUCAGAUAACUUUCGGAUUUUAUUUCUCACUCUACGGGUGUCAGAAUGGCAUAAAACUUUAUAUCUAGCCUCAUAAAAAUAUUUCUGACAUAUCCUCCAAUUUUCAUAAUUUUCUGAGACUAUACAUUUUCUGCUAAUUUAUCUGUCCCAUUUCCACAGAAAAUUCUAAAUCUUCUUUUUUCGCUCCGAUUUCAGCACAAGUCACUUCUGACUUAUGUUUUACUUAUCUAAAUCCAAUAAAAAUAGUAUCUCACACUUUUUUUUUAUUUUCACUUUUAUAUUUAAAAUCCGGUAUGUUACAUUCCACCGCAGCCUCACCGGAACCAUUUAAAUGUACACCGUAACUUCAUAGUUUUAGAAGUCCGGUACCUUACAUCCUCCCCUCCUUAAAAAGAGUUUCGUACUCGAAACUCAAAUAACUUCAACUCCAACUCACAGCCCCAACUCUAUUUAUCGAGUAACAACGGGUUUCAAUGCACUUUUCUAUUUCGGAGUGACCUUAUGCUCAUUGGAACUGUCCAAAGGCCUUCUACGGAGGAUGUGAGACCAAUUUCACUCACAUUUUGUAUGUGUAACUCCGAAAGUGCAUUACGAGUUUCCGUCAUUCUUGGUGGUAGCGCAAGUCGAAACUCUACGACACUACGCGCUCCGACACCAUUCACCACUUGGCAUGCAAGAAUUCUCAUUUGCAUCUACUUUUCCCACCUCAGGGUACUCCUGAAUCAAUCACCAACAUUGCUUGAAAGCAAUACCAAUCGCGAGUGCUCCAAUCAUAUUUUGAUCUUUGCUCUAUUGAGAGAUGGCCCACUUCGGCGCAUCUCGAAUCUCAACCCAUAAAAGAGCAUUAUCCCCAAGUCCUCCAACAUGACCCAGCCUGCCUGGGUAAAUUUCACACUCGGGGACCGGUCUCUUCCUGCGUGGAACCGGUCCCAGAGGGACCUCCCCAAUCUCACGCAUUCGGGAACCGGUCUCUCUGACCCAGGGACCGGUUGCCUUGCGCGUCGCAACCCUCAGCCUCGGGGCAACCGGUCCCUCCUUGCCAGGGACCGGUCCCCGAGAGCAAACCCGCACAGACCAUGUUCGGGAACCGGUCCCUCCCGCCAGGGACUGGUCCCCGAGAGCAAUUCUGCCAAGUGCAGAUUCUUGCAUCAUUUGCUCUCACGGACUCCAUUGCAGUGCACUUUUGAUGCAUUUGACUUCUUUGGCUUUUACGAAGCACUCCCACUCGACAAUUAGUCGAUCCUGAGCGAAGUCCAAAUCUCGUAUUUCGAGGACUCUCUUCCUUACUCUGACUCCUCCACAGAGUUAUUGGCUAAACCGAUUGCGUCGGCUUUCACGGGUGGACCAGCGGUCGUAAUGCUACAUCGGCGUAUCGCCUAACCUAUCGUACUACGCACAGCGUCUCUCACUCGCAUCGUAGCCCCAAUCCUCAUUUCCGGGCGAAAUCCUUACUUGGGAGUUCGCACACACUCCAAACAGGAGCAACCAAGACCCCAAACCACGUCAAGUCCUCGGGUUGGGUCACUACACACCCUGUGUAUCCCUGAUCUUAUGAUCCAACACGUGGAAUUCCACGCACCCGGUCUAAGCUCGGACUACCGUCCUGACCAAAACUCUCCGCCCUACCUAUACGUAUCGGGCGGCUGUCACUCACAGCUGACUACGCCUGCCCAAAGGGCCCAGGCUCCACAGUUCACAAAUGGUCCAGGCACGGGUCGUCCCCAAGCACUACCCGCCGUCGUCGUCUUAUACGAUAUACUCUAUUGAGUUACACGUACCAUUACCGGCUCCUAAGUGCCUAAGCAUCUAGUGUGAGCCAUCAACCUUACGAGUGUUCCAUGGCCCGCUUCACACUUAGCAACGCUAAAGUGCUACAGCCAACACACUCUCUCGGCUGAAGCAAAUCCGUACUCUACGAGUAUCUACACUCGCACGUCGUACGCCUCUCUAACGCUCUACUCCGAAUUCGAGCCUUAGGCACUUUUGCCCUAGCACAUGGCCACACAAGCAUGACUCAGCCAUCUCAAUUCGAGGCAGUAACUCGAUAAUCAACCAACCACUCUUUCAGCAGUGAUCCUACUUUCACUGUUUAAUCUACCGGAACUACAUCCGAGACACUCGAAUUGCUCGGUUAGGCACAAGUAUCACGGCUCAACUCUCGCAACCAACUACCCGUUGUCUUGAGAGUCGCUUCACCGUUUCGUCUUUCCCACGAGUCUCANGUAACUCGAUAAUCAACCAACCACUCUUUCAGCAGUGAUCCUACUUUCACUGUUUAAUCUACCGGAACUACAUCCGAGACACUCGAAUUGCUCGGUUAGGCACAAGUAUCACGGCUCAACUCUCGCAACCAACUACCCGUUGUCUUGAGAGUCGCUUCACCGUUUCGUCUUUCCCACGAGUCUCACUUCCUGUCUAGAAUCCACUACUAGCAAUUUGCUAGUACCGUCUAGCCCUCCAUCUACUCCAGCAAGCGUUACACCCUCACGCGCAAGCAUGCUCGGGUAUUUACACUUAUCCGUCACUUUGGUCCUUACUACAUCGAUGCAUCGACGAUAGCAAGCGACCACACGACGAAUGCAUGCAAGGUCCUUCGACCAAGGUUGCGUACUCACGGACGCUCGUUGCCCGCCGUGAACCCUCCGUCGUCACUUCCUCACCACUCACUCUCCAGACUAUUCUGUAGAUGUCACACCCACAAAAUGUCUCGGAGGGGAAGAGGCUAUCACCUACAACACGACCCUGCAAUCGAUCGUACGCACACCUAUCUCACCACACCGGGCCCAUUAUCGUGCCAGGUAAGAACUUACAAUCCCGCAUCAUAAAGAUGUUAACAGAAGACACUUCUAAGGUUCGGGAUUGCAUUCGUACUCAAGACGGUGCAUUGCUCUAAACUGGGCAAUUUUGAGCUACGGGGACCGGUCCCGGUCCUUCCUCGGGAGACCGGUACUCGGGAGACCGGUUCCUGCUGAGAGACCGGUUCCCGAGAGUGGCAUUUCCGGGACUUAGCCAAUUUUAGCCCUUUUUGUCAAUCUCGCACACGGGGGACCGGUCCCUCUGGCCCAGGGACCGGUUGCAUCAAGCAACCCCGCACCAAUCAGCUACGGGGACCGGUCUCUCCCUGCGAGGGAUCGGUCCCCGAGAGCAACUUCCAACAGGUGCAGGCUUUGCACUAUUGGCCCUCGCGGACUCAAUUCCAAUGCACUCUUGGUGAUUUAGGCAUCUUCGACUUUUUCGAAGUCUACACACUCGACAAUUAGUCGAUUUCCGACGAAGUCAAAUCCUCGGAUUUCGAGAAUCCACUUCCCCUACAUACACGACUUUAACAACGCCCGGCCGAAAUCUCCGCACAAGCAAUUCGGCCAUGUCCUCGUCAUCCUGCGCUAUGUUCGGGACGCAACGCACGACACGGGAGAAUUCUCGCUCGUAUCGCCUCACGGUGCUGUUUACCUGCUACAGCUUCGGAAACUUAUCCUGAAGCUUUCCUCUCUCACCAUCGGGGAAGUAAACGGAGGAUGCUAAUCCCCGAACUCAUCCCGACCAUCGGAGGGAGACGAGGCAAUCGAUUCCGUCGAAUGCCUUUCUACCACACCCUUGCCGACUGCUUACAAGCAACGUACGGCUAGGUGUGCCCUGCCUCACGCUACAACGCACAGAUCCCCCAAAGGGAGUCCCGCUCUCGGUUCGUCACCAGCAACUUGCCGGCAUUAACUAAUCACCAAUCCCCUUUAGGUAGGCGACAUACCACCACGACUUAUGCAUGCUGGGGGGGGNAAUGCCUUUCUACCACACCCUUGCCGACUGCUUACAAGCAACAUACGGCUAGGUGUGCCCUGCCUCACGCUACAACGCACAGAUCCCCCAAAGGGAGUCCCGCUCUCGGUUCGUCACCAGCAACUUGCCGGCAUUAACUAAUCACCAAUCCCCUUUAGGUAGGCGACAUACCACCACGACUUAUGCAUGCUGGGGGGGGGGGUAGGGGGGGUAACUACACUGACCUGCGUCCUGGUCUCUACUAUACCAAUAUGUAAAUAAUAGUAAAAGACCACAAAGCAAAUGCAUGCAAUUGCUUAAACUGCUUCUUGCUAAAAUGUAUGACUGCUUAAUUAAAUCAUACCUACGGUGACAUCACCAACAGCAGCAGGUUCCUCGACUUGAGCCGCGUAUCCAGGGCCGCUUGGCACUCCCUGAAAGUCCUCCGGCUGCUCGACCACCCCAAGCUCUCCAGACCGUGCCACAAGCUGCACAUCCACCAUCUGACCCGGAGAGGUGAAUGUCGUCGCUGUCGGCGGGAGUCGUCCAUCGCCCAAGGGGCAAUCAUAUUUCACGUGGCCAGACUGCCCACAACGAAAACACCUUCCCUCUCGCAGUGCACACCGCCGCGCCUUGUGGGAUCCUCCACAAAUCACACACCCUGCAGAUACGGCAGUAGCAGACGGAACUCCUCCGAACUGCCGCUGGAUCUCUGGGGCGGAUGCAACUGACGGGGCAGGUGGCACUCCUUCCACGCACUGACGGGCCAUAUGUCCCGCACGACCACACUUGAAGCACCGUCCCGCCCGAUCCUUACAAGUCGCUGCGCGAUGCUCUCUACCGCAGAUCACGCACCGCAUAGGUCCUUGUCUAAUGGACCGCCCUUUUUGGUACUUCGGGGCCUUUUUGGAACUAGACUGUUCCCCCGAACUACCACCAGACCGUUUCUUCACUCCACUCUCCUUGAACGCCUCGCGUUCCUGUCUCACUUCCCCAGCUGCCGCAUCGAGUAUCGUAGGACCCGAAGCCGCCAGAGGGACGCUAGCCGGCAGGGGAUGCGUCACCGCCGGAGUCACCAAAAUGCUCACGCCCUCAGGCGCAUCAGGCGCGCGAGCGGAGGGCGCGGGCGGACCAUGGCCUUCAGUUGUCGUCUCGGCCGCCGUCGCCACUUGUCGCUCCAAAAGUUCUUGGAGCCGCUCGAUCUGACUUCCUUGGCGUUGAAUCACGCCGAUAAGCAUAGUCAUCUGCGCUCAUAAUUCUUGCACUUCACUUGACCCAGCUCGUUCAGGCACCUCGGGAGGCGGUGCCGAAACGGUUCUACGCGCGUAGUGUCUCCUUGGUGCCAUUAGCUCCUGAAACACAACGACUCGGUUAAUUACCUUAACCUGCUAACCUCAUCGCAACUAUUAGACGACGCGACUCAAUCGGGCGAAAGUCAUACAAGGGUGCCUAUUCUCAUCACUCAGUUUCAUGUUGUAUGCAUCCAACAUGAACACCCUCGGGUGAGAAUAAACAAAACCUUGAGUCCACCUCUAACAUCCGUCUUAGAGGUUUACCAACUUGACCCAAUCGAUCCAACUUUCGCCACCGUAUAGGUUCACGUCACUCACGCACCUAUAACCUUAGGGUUCACCGUCCUAGGGUCUCCUAGGUCCAUCCUAAACUCUCUCUUUACUUGCUCUUAAUUGCUCUGAUACCACUUUAUCUGUCACGCCCCGAGACCGCUACCAAUUUGGUCCGGCCCGGGCGCGUCGAACAGACGCCGAACGGACAGGACCUCCCCUGUCCGCCCAAGGCUAACCAACAGAUCAUGUAUAAGAAUUUACCCAGGAAUUAAUUCAUGAAUACACGAUCAAGAAGCACCACCAGUGCAACAAGACGAGAGCAAGAUACAAGUAUAAAAACAUAUACAAGUACAUAAAGAGAGAAGAGGCGAUCUAUUACAUUCAUUCAGCCUUUAUAAUACAAUUUGAUUAUACAUUAAGUUUCUAAACAUAAUAUAAAGCUUACAUCUUCCAAAAGAUAAACAUUAGCUUACAUUCAUUCCAGAAUAUCUCACAUCCUAUACAUCAUCUACUCUCAAUGCAUAUAAAGGUGACUCUAAUGCAGAAAUAGGAAAGUAAACUAAUGCAACUAGGGCGCUAGGCCCUUACCGCGAUCCUCGCCGUGUGAACUCGCGCUCGGCCCUGUAGUAAAANNNNNNNNNNNNNNAGACCGUUUCUUCACUCCACUCUCCUUGAACGCCUCGCGUUCCUGUCUCACUUCCCCAGCUGCCGCAUCGAGUAUCGUAGGACCCGAAGCCGCCAGAGGGACGCUAGCCGGCAGGGGAUGCGUCACCGCCGGAGUCACCAAAAUGCUCACGCCCUCAGGCGCAUCAGGCGCGCGAGCGGAGGGCGCGGGCGGACCAUGGCCUUCAGUUGUCGUCUCGGCCGCCGUCGCCACUUGUCGCUCCAAAAGUUCUUGGAGCCGCUCGAUCUGACUUCCUUGGCGUUGAAUCACGCCGAUAAGCAUAGUCAUCUGCGCUCAUAAUUCUUGCACUUCACUUGACCCAGCUCGCUCAGGCACCUCGGGAGGCGGUGCCGAAACGGUUCUACGCGCGUAGUGUCUCCUUGGUGCCAUUAGCUCCUGAAACACAACGACUCGGUUAAUUACCUUAACCUGCUAACCUCGUCGCAACUAUUAGACGACGCGACUCAAUCGGGCGAAAGUCAUACAAGGGUGCCUAUUCUCACCACUCAGUUUCAUGUUGUAUGCAUCCAACAUGAACACCCUCGGGUGAGAAUAAACAAAACCUUGAGUCCACCUCUAACAUCCGUCUUAGAGGUUUACCAACUUGACCCAAUCGAUCCAACUUUCGCCACCGUAUAGGUUCACGUCACUCACGCACCUAUAACCUUAGGGUUCACCGUCCUAGGGUCUCCUAGGUCCAUCCUAAACUCUCUCUUUACUUGCUCUUAAUUGCUCUGAUACCACUUUAUCUGUCACGCCCCGCGACCGCUACCAAUUUGGCUCGGCCCGGGCGCGUCGAACAGACGCCGGACGGACAGCACCUCCCCUGUCCGCCCAAGGCUAACAACGAGAUUGUGUACAACAAGUUCCCAGGAAAAUAACUUGAAUACAUACACAAUCGAUAACUACAACGAGAGCACAAUCAGUGCAAAACAACCAAGAGCAAGAUACAAGUAUAGAACAUACAAGUAAUGAUAAAGAGAGGAACAUCUAUCUAUUACAUUCAUUCAGCCUUUAUAAUACAACUUGAUUAUACAUUAAGCUUCUAAACAUAAUAUAAAGCUUACAUCUUCCAAAAUAUAAACAUUAGCUUACAUUCAUUCCAGAAUAUCUCACAACCUAUACAUCAUCUACUCUCAAUGUAUAUAAAGGUAACUCUAAUGCAGAAAUAGGAAAGUAAACUAAUGCAACUAGGGCGCUAGGCCCUUACCGCGAUCCUCGCCGUGUGAACUCGCGCUCGGCCCUGUAGUAAAAUGGGGGUGAGAACUAACUUCCUUAGUUCCCAGUGGGUUCGGCCGCCGACUCCGCCGAUCUCCCCACUAGGUCCAAGUUGGGCACAAGUAGAUAAUCGAUAGAUAGAUAGAUAAGGAAAGCGGUAAAUGACAGCAGUAAAGCUACGCUACUAUGCCCAAUCAUAAAUAUAUGAAUGCAUGUACAAUGAAAUGGAUAAACAACAAUCCCAUUAUCAUGUCCAAAGGUAAAGUUAUUUACUCGUUCACCAAUCUCAUUUACUUGUUUCUCAAUCUCGUGGCUUCCCUGAAGGAGCCUACUGCUCACUAGCCAUCUCGAAGGUAGGGAGAGUCAACUCGCACUACGAACCGAGACCGUCUGGCGGGCCCAAAAUAG
rnacentral:lncRNA from 1 species